AAAAAAAAAAAAAACUAUGAGGUAGUUACCAACUAAUACCAAUUUAUCGUCACUGAAGUAUAGUAUGGUGAUUACCAUAGAAAGGUAUUUGUUCACGAUCCUAACAUAUAAUUUGUGAAUUCAGAUAAAGGCUUGACAGUAUAAAUAAGAAGAUAAAUAAUAUUCCAUCUAAUCGAAUCAAUGGGGAUCAGUCAACCUACAACACCAGGUCAAGGUCGGCAUGUUGAUGAUAUGAUUUUUAAGGUGUCACAUGAAAAAGACUCUAAUUUUAAGUUUUGAACUACUCGAAGUGCUGGCACUAGUUCAAACUUAAUAAAAAAUUUUCACAAAAUUCACGGACAUCCAAGAUCUUACGCUCCUAUUUUCACUGGUUAUAUCUCAAAGGAUUCUUUAAUAAAUGCUUUGUGAUCACAAAAAUCCCAAUCCUUUCACCAUACCAUUAUAAUUUCUUUAUAUUUCAAAAGGAUUCUUUAAUAAACGCUUAGUGAGCAAAAUAAUCCAAAUUCUUUCACCAUGGCAUUAUAAUUUCUUUGAUCACUCAUUCGUUUAGAUACCAGAGAUUCCAGGUUCAGUUCUUGAAUGGUGUAUCUCUAGAGAUUUGAACUUGGAUAAUUAUAGCAGGUCUCUCUCUCUCAAAAAUUCUUUUCUCGCAAGGCAAUGCUGAGGUACGACCACCAAUUCCAUUCAGAUAGUGAAAAAAAUUACCGGACUGUGGGCAAGCUGAACACCUUUACUUCCAAAAUUAAUAUUGUGUGAGAGAGAGACCUCUUAUCGAACAGAUCUCAAUAAGAUAAAGCAGAACAUUGCCAAGCAUGAUGAAUAACUGUCAGAUAAUAUACAUCUUCAGUCACAUAUAACUAAACAACACCCCAGUGAUACAUCUCAGGUGGGGUGCGGAACAUAGACCAAACAAGAGCUACAAUUUUCUCUGUACUCCAUCCUUUUACAUGAUGCGCAAUAAAGUUGGUAGCAUCUAUAUUUGAGGGGGGUGAGGGAGGUCACCAGCAACUGUUCCCGGCUGAGCAAUAUGUAAGUAUACAUUAUAGAAGAUGAGAUAAAGGACUUCGGAUUUCUGAUUUAUGGUUACAAAGGGUAUAAAUUAGGUUACAUUGAAAAGAAGACAACAGGAAAAAGUCGUUUCGACAAAUCUUAAGCAUCAAAGUUACAGAGGGUGCAAACUGCAGUUACUUCCAUGGCAUGUUUGACAAGCCCUGCUGGUUGCUGUUAUCGCAAGCACCAAUGUUCUGGUUGAGUGAGCUCCCAGGAUCGUCAUAGGACUCGUCCAGUAUGCCCUGUGAAAACCCAAAAGGACCAGCAAGCUUUCCAGGGGCAGAUACAGGUUCUGAUGGGUUCACUUCAGUUGUCUCUUUCUGCCCAUCGGCAAUAAAACUGCACACUACCACCUGCAUACCAUUGAGAAAAGAAAUUUGCUGAAGGAAGAGCAUAUAAGGCAUUAUUUAUAAAGUUUGUCAGAAUGCAAAAUCUGAUCAACAUGUCAGAACACCUUACAUAAAACAGCAUUUUUUGUUUAGCAUCAUCUUGUGUAAAUCAUUAAAACGCAAUCCUUUCAUACAGCUUUAUACUAUAUUUAACAUUUAAAGCACAUGCUAAAUAUACAUUAGAUUUUGCUACAUGCACUAGCAAUAAUGAUCUGCGGGAGAACAUGGACAGGGAUUUUAAAACUGUUUUGAUCAUUUAGGUGAGAUAGGAAAUUCAUUUAAAUCCAGAGAAGAGAUCAAUUUUUUGCUCUGGAAAUAAACAAAACUAAUUAGAAAUACAUGAAGGUUAAACUUGUGAAAAGAUAUGAAGAAUGUGCUAUAAAAGAUUUUUCUGAGGAACAUUUUCUCAUCCUGUAACAUUAACUGGAUCAAGCCAACAUAUUACACAUAAGUUCUGAACUUAUGUGGAGUAAAUUUAUUAACCCCAACCAAGAUAGAUGUUGGAAACCCUAAUAUGAACUGAGAAUGACCUGGACAGGAGAUGCCGCUGUUAGAAGCCCAGCCACUCCACCGCCCAAGACACGACCAUCAGGACCAGCCAGAGACACACUCAGUCCCCCUGUUCGGCUACGCUGCCCACCAUUCUCUGACAGCAUGAAUGAGCCAGAGAGUGACAAGAUUUCAAAUCGACCCUGUAUAUUGACCACAAGGCAUCAAUGAUUGGAAGUGAAUUGUGACCAACAACUAAUAAAAGUUAACUGGUCAAAAGCAUAAAUUUCGUAUCCAUGAUACUUCAUUAGUGAAGCGCACAAUUCUACAAUUACUAAAAAAAGAUCAUUCACCAGCAGCACAAAGACCAAAUUGCUGCAUUUCCACCCGAAUGAAGGAUAGUUACUGGACUCAUAAUCCAGUUACAUGCACAGCUUUUAAUUGGUAUGCUCAAUAUAUGUGGGAAUACAUCAACUAAACAAAGAUAAUUAGACUUUUGUCAAGGAAACACAAACAGCUUGAAUUCUGAAAAACACAACUCUCUUGUACCAUGCAGAUUAAUAUGUAUCAUCAGUUGCAAGUUUCUAAAAUUACAAACCUCAUAAGUUACCGUUCCCCCAGAUGUUGCUGCCUGACGAAGAGUCACAUUUGAAACAGCACCAUUAGCUGAAAGAAUGCAAACAGCAUGUGGUCCUUGCUGCGAAAAUGCCAUAAUUUUUGAUGCAAUAUCCUGAAACAUUAAAAAUGUAUUAGUUGAUAUCAAUUUAUUUUUUGCAGAUUUAGCUGUGAAAAUUCAAAAUCAACAUUGAACUUAACCUGCAAGACCUGUAACCCUUAUACCAUCUAUUUGCUAUUGACUCAUGGAUCAAAGUAUAAUGAACAGAAGUAUGGAAAACUUAAAUGAACAGACAACCUAUAAGAAAAGAUAAACUUCCCCAAAAGAACCACCUCUAUAUACCACAGGCUCCCAACAUGGUGCGCUAGCAUUCAGAGGUGAGUUUAUUGGGUCUGUUUAGGAUUCUUAGACUGAAAGGGGAGGGAUAAAAACUAUAUCUAUGGUGCUGGCACAAAAGCACAUACACGGAGGGGGGGGGCGGGCCUGGGGGGAGAGAGAGAUGCAUAAACUGGAAAUGCAUAGUUCGGUGGCAAUGUCUCACAACACUCAAUAUGCCCGCCAUGAUAGACUUCAAUGGAAGAAGACGUGGCACAUAUGUUGGUGAGAAUAUUUUGUGAGAUGGUCCAAUGAUUAUAGGGUGUGGUGCCAAGGGAUUGUGGGAAUGGAUCUCUCAGUUUUAUUCAGUCAUUUGACUAAUCACAUCUCUUUGGGCAAACCAAAGGAUAGACCCAUGGUUUCAAAAAUAGAGGCCUUCUUAACAGUUUUGGAGAACCUUUAUUACAUUAAUGUCCUAUAAAAUAACAAAUUCUAUAUACAUGUUAUGACCAUUUUUAUGGCAUCAUAUGAUAGUCAAAAUAGACAUUUCUUUUAUAUUAAUAAUUAAAAAACUACCAUAUAUAAUGCAAAUCCUUGUGGUGUGUCUCCGUGCCUAAGCAACCUGAUGCAUUCUCCUCCAGUCCACUUAGAAGGAAAGAAUCUUGGCCAUUGAUUGGGCUCCUAUUCACUGGCCAUUUGGAUUUCACUCACCAUUAUAUGAGUUGGGGAAAAAAAAAGGAACUUUUCCUCAGCAAAUUUAUCCAAUGUGAUUCACCACCCCCAUUACAUAACAGUUUAUCAAGGAGAUGAACACCUUCUGAUCCUCUCUUCCUCCUCUCAAGCGUUUCAGUGGUCGACAGGAUCACAUGCAUCCACCAAGUAUGUCUCCUCUUAGCUAUCAUAUGCAUUGCAUUUAGAAAACUGGUAUGUGAUGCCAUAUGCCAUGCCAGUGCUUGGCACUUGCAAGCACACAUGCAAGCCACAGGAUGCCGAGCAUCAGGACAUACCCAUGCUGCAUGCUGGUAAGCUAUUGGAGUGGCACGUGCGCAUAUAAAUGUCAUGGUUAGGUACAAGUUUGUUAGAACAAGUAAUAUAUUUAAAAACCUUCACAAUUCUUUUUCUUUACACUUUUAUAUGUACAAGUUUGAAAGCGUGGUUUUGAUGCAAAACAGAAAAAUAGAUUCUAAAAUUAAAAAUGGGAUGGAUGAAUCAGACACUACUUGAUUCAUGCAUGUUCAAAAUUGUUAACCAACAGUUCCUAUCUAUUCCUUGAUCGCCCCCCAUGUAACAUUCUCUGGGAAAAAAUGCCACAAUAUUUUGUUUUUCCAGUAAACAUGAAAUAUAGGCACAUCAAAUACAGACCUCGGGUUCAGCUGCCUUUGUUCCUCUAUUCUCCAAUUUAUUUUAUUUUCCUCUUCACCAUUGUUUCUUUUUAUCCCUCCUUUUUUGAAACCAUACAAAAAGCAUGCAGAUAGAAAAGGCCCCUGAUACAAACUGACUAGAAUUACUUGAACUUGCCAAUAAUUUGUUCCACAUUGAAUCAACAAUGGUCCAGCUUGAGAUGGCACAUUUUUUCUCCUGUACAUCAAUAGUGUACCAGUCCACAAGGCAUAAACAUGCCGACACUCACCAACUAAUUAUUUCUGGAACGGAUUGGUUGGUCGCAUUGCUCAUAAAAGAAAAUUAUUGUUAUAAUAUUCAGAUAAGAAGAAAGGAGUAAGAAUUUUUCGACCCUAAAACAUGUGGAUCUCCUGUGACUAUCUUCAGCUUCUUGAUUGUGAGCUCAGUUAACACCCUAUGCUUUCCUUUUUUCUAAUGUUUUCUCAAAGCAGAUCUACCAUCAGUUUAGAUCUUCAGGAAAAUUGGAUUACCAGAUCUGAAUUACAGUGGCAUCAGCAUGAAAGAUUAUGCAAGUUUGAGAUGGCAUUGGCACCAGAACAAGAAUUUACAUUGAAAAGAGAGAUAGCAUGUGUGUGGAAACCUUCCACCAGAGCACCUAUUUAGAUCAUUGGGUGGCAGAAAGUGUUCUAAUGUGCCUUCACUUGCUGAUCUUAAAAGAUUGAAGAGAUGAUAGAUGAUUUUAAUCCUAUAGAGAGACCUCUAGUGAUCUGAAAGUACAGAUGCCUCAGGAUUCACCAGAGAAAAGGAACUGGAAAUUCUAGAGGUCCACAAAAGGAACAUCUUACAAAUUUAGAAGCAACAAUUUCUGGUGGAUGAUGAUCUAAUUGGAGAAACUCAAGAACCUGAGAGUUUGAUUUUAAAAGAAAUUUAAUCAUGAAAAUAAUACAAGUGAAUGUUCAACUAUAUGAUUGCACCCUACUGAUACAGUGAUCAGCUCUUCAAUCAUUACUUGGAUUAAUGGAUCUUGCCAUGAGUUGACACACAGAGGAGGUUUAUUGAUCUAACUAUAACUUCACAUAAGGCAAAAGUUUUAAGAAUUUUUAUCAAGAGCCCUUUAGGGUUUUUUUUUUUUUUGGGUACAAAGGGUUUAUUUUUCUUUAUGUUUAUCUAUUUUCACCCAUAUGGGUCUCAUAAGAGUAAUGUGCUAAAUUUUUGAAGAAGUACUGCACAUAUUGCUUCUUUUGUUCAUUUCAUUUUAGGGUUAAUUCACUGAGGGCUUAAAAUAAUAAGCUUAAUGGUCUGCUCGUUUGGGAAAAUAUUUUAAAGUUUACUUUUUUCUUCUCUUUUUAUUUACAUAAAGUAAUAAACCUCACAUUAUAACAAUUAAUAGCAUCUCAUUUUGCAACUAAGAAGAAAAUCCUUAUUGAAAGUAGAAAGCAAUGGGAUUCAACUGGUCAGCCAAGUGGCCUUUAAAAGGCCAUCGAGUAACAUAAUUCUCACAUUUCCUCUUUUUUUGGAGUGUUUAAACAUGGUAACAUCCACAAUUUUCUUCCUCUUGUUCUUUGACUGCAUCAAAACUUUAUCCUCUUACUUUCUGCUGCUAUUUCUCACAUCAAAUCAAAAAUAAAAUUUAAUUUUCACACAUAAACCAGUUCACCAAAAAUGCUUCACAUUAGUUGAAUGAAAAUUAUUUACUUGUCAAAAGUGCAUAGGGAAAACCAAUUAUUACAUCUUGUUAGCAAGACAUCACCCAAUGAUCCUAAGAAAUAGAAAAAAAAUUGAGAAAAAAAUAACAAAAGUAUACUCACCAUCACCACCAAGAUCUCUUCCCAUCAAAAUGGGUCGAUGACUGAAAAUCAGCAUAUCUCUAAGUUGGGAAGACUCCACUAAAGGAUUAAGAAAAUAUUUACAAUAGACUAUCAAUUUGACAUCGGCCCUCUAAAAUCAAGCACUAGCUUCCCAUCAUAGGCAACUUUAGAUAAAGUAGGUGCUUGCCAUGAGACCUAGAAGGCAAGUUGGUGAGAGGGAAACAAAGGUUUAAGUGCUCGUCUAUGCUGGACUAUGCCAGGCUAGUGGCACAAGGGGCAUGCACAUUAGCCACUGUAUAUUACAUAUUGUGAGGUAUUAACAUAAGUUGGCUUUUAUCAUCAGCAUAAGUUGAUAUAGCUUGAGUCCUAUUGGUACCCGACCAGUAUUAAUAAAGAAAUUGCAACCUGUCCCAGAAAAACAGCUAAAGCUAUUAAUGAGAUAGGCUCCCUACAUAAGACCGACUGAACAAAGGGAGUUUCUUUUCAGGUGGGGGGUGUGCAAAAGGAGUUAAAGGGUUUUGGACGUUGGGUUCAAUGGAGAAUUUGGUGGAAGAGGAAAAGAUUGUGAGAACCCAUGCAAGUGUCUGUUUAGUCCCACACUGGCUAGGUACUAGAUAGAUCUUAGGUACUCAUACGGGGCCAAGGAACCAAAAUAAAAACUUUUUGACUAACACUUUCGGGUGGUUUGUUGUUAUAAAUGGUAUUAGAGUGGACAUAGCCCAUGGUCUAUGUGGACCAAGGGAGACUACAACAUGGCCCGUUUAGGUUGAUCAUCGGCUGAAUAUGGUGUUUGUGAUUAGAUUAUUGGUCUUUGUAAUUUAAUUUAAAUGGAUUUGAAUAUCUAGCGAGGAUGCUAGAGCUUAAAUAGGGAGAUUGUGUGAGGGCCUGUGUGGGCAUGUUUAGUCCUACAUCGGCAAUAUACUAGAUAAAUCUUGGGUACUUAUAUAGGCCAAAAAACUCAAAUAACACUUUUCAGAUAGCCUUUUUGGGUGAGGCCCACUGUUGUUAGAGAGAUGGUCAAGGGAGAUGACUUGAUCAAGGAAGAUCAUAAGAAGAAAAGGCUAGAUUGGGCCAAUCCGUAAGUGACACAAAUUGCAAAUAAAUGAGACCCGUCUAUACAUCAUAACAAUCACAUUGAACAUCGAAAGCAUGAUGAAACUAUGAUACUAUUUCUGCUACCUAAUAAUAAGAAAAUUAGUUUAGGGGCUGAAAAGUCAAAUAGAGGAGCAUCUAUGCAAGAUAUUAUACUUAGAAGAGGAAUAAAAGUGACUGAAAAAAUGUGCUCUCACCCAUUCUAAAGUAUCUUGCCACAAAACCAUGUUAAAGUAUCAUUGCAAUAUGGUAAGAUAAUUAAGAUUUACAAAAAUGUUCAUGUUGAAUGCUAACUCAUUACAAAGGUGCAUCAAGUACACCAAGGAAAAAUUUUUUGAAAAAUUUGAUUAUAUUAAGUAAUGAAUACACUAAGGCAGCCUUAAAAAUCAGCAAUAAAGCAAGCACAAGGCUUGGAAUAAAAACAGCUUCUAAGAAACAAAUGUAAAGAGGGAACAGUUGUUCCAGUUCAUCAUGCUUAUACCAGGCAUAUCCAUUCAAGAGAAAAGCCGUCAUUAGCUAUUCCUACCACAAAGCCUUUAUUUAUGCAUACCUACCUUUUUCCUUUAAUGGACAAAGACACUCUCAGCCUAAAGUAAUCUGAAAAAUCUGAGUCCAAUAAAAAUAGGAAUAACUAUUCUUGUUCCACUCUUUUCUUAUCCCAAAAUAAAAAGUUAGCCUAGAACUAUUUCUAGACAAACACUUGAUAAAGGGUCGGGAUACAUAAAAUAUAUUAAAAUUUCAAACAUUCACAGGAGCUUCCUAGUUAUAUUUAGCAUGACUUUACACAACUACUAACCAGAUAAACAACACCCUGUUUCAAAGUUGAUAAGGCCCCUGUAGUUAAUAUUAUAAUGACAGAUAAGUUUAAACCUUAAGAACAAAAAUUUGUGAUGGCAUAGGUUCAGAAGUAAAAAAGAAAAGGUGUAAAUAUUCAUAAAGCCAAUCCCCGAUUUUGAUUCAGGACAGAAUUUUUUUGGUUUUAUAUAAGGAACUCAAUUCAAUUGUGACGAACUUCAGCAGUGAAAUGCAUUACAGACAUUUAAAAGAGAGUCAUUAUGCAUGAGAAAAAAAAUCAGUACCUCUCCGGUCUUGAUUGCAAUAAUAUGAGGUGUAAAACCAAUCCCAGCUGAUCCUGCAAAAUAUUUUUUUCACAAUAAUUAAUACUGUACAUGAAAAAGCAAAUUUAAUGGAAACUAUAGAUGAGUCAUCAACAAUACCAAUAAUUAAAUUCAAAAACAAAAAUCUACAAAUAAGGUAUGCACAAUCAAACAUGAAAACAAGAAACAACCUUCAAAAACUGAUAGUCAAUACCUCUACCCAAUAUGGACAUAAUGUAACUUGUAUUUGCAAUAACAAAUUAAAUAAAAGUCCAAGUUUUGAUUUUUCAAGAAUUAGAUACAGUAUCUAAAUAAAUUCAACAAUUUCAACGAAAAUCAACAGUACUUUGAUAGCAGAAGACUGCAUUAAUAUAAAAGCCAAAGUCAAGCCAUCUCAAAUAUUGGGCAUUAAGAAAUAGUGACCAACAAACAUGACUUUCCAAAUCAUGCAUUAUUAGAAGUACAGACUUUAAGUGCUAAGGAACACAUCCAUGAAGCCUUUGUUGGAUCAAUCAUUUCUAAAUUUCCAAAACUUCAACGGGCACAGGAACAAUAUCUAGGACACAAUAGUAAUUUCUGCACAUCUCACUUCCAGCAUGUCAGAACUACCAAAUAAACUCAGUUUCUACCAGAACAAAACAGUCUUUCUUUUCUAUUUUGGCAGAUUAAACUCCCUCCAACACACUCACUACCCAUAAAGCUCCCAUCUUUCUGUAAGACACCAAGGCAGAUUAACUCCCUCCUAAACCCUCACUACCCAUCAAACCCCCAUCUUUCUGUCAGACAACAACAAGCAAAAGCCGAACAGAAAUAUAAUCCCUUGUUUCAAUAGCUUAGAACCAGCAACAUCAUAAGUUCCAAAACGUGGGAAGCUGACAAAAACAUAAGACGUAACAAACCGGAUAGGAAGUAGCAAGAGAAAGAGGAGAUUGAGAUUACCCAGAGCUACCAUUUGCCGCUUCUUGCUGGAACCCGGCGGCCGUCCCCUUGCUUUCUUCAUGGCUCCUGCUGCAGCAGUUGCAGCAGCAGAGGAAGAAAGUGGAACAGCCGAGGCACUUGUGGUCGGGGACACGGUGGUGAGAGGAACGACGACGGUACCAUUGGACCCAUACUUCCUCGGCCGUCCACGCUUUCGUUUGAAUGGCUCUCCAGUGCUGCCACCGAGGCCAUGCGAUCCACUGGCUACCGAGUUCCCAUCGCCGCCACCGCCCCCUCCUCCAGCGUAUGAAGGAGGAGAGUUACCGCUUAUUGAUUUAUACAUCGGUGUUCCAUCAGAAGAGGUCACCAAUCGCAUGCUAUACACCGGCGGCUGCGGUUGGACUGGGUUUCUCUGGAUGGUUUUGGCAUCGGAUGAUUCCCCAGCUGCCAUGGCUCCUGGCUCAGACCUCCCCUCCAUAUGCCCAAAAAUUAAAUUUUACAGUAUUAUUUGGGGAAUUAUUACCCUCUGCUCUUAUCUGGAAGAGAAACGAGAAAAGAAAAGCAAAAUUUAGAAAUUUAUGCAACCAAAGACUUGAGAGUCUGCAGAUUUCCCAACAUACAAAGAACAAAGGGAGAGAAAAUGUCCCACAGGAGCGAAUUUUAUACUCCGAGAAUCUAAUGGAGGGAGGGAGCUCGAAAACCCUAAGAAGCAGCAUGAUUUCGAAAAACCCUAAACCCUAGGCUCGAAAGUUAGUUCCUUGUGCCUCGUUUUCACAGUAAAAUAUAAUUUCAGACAUAAUAACAAUGGAAAAACGAGCGGAAAUUAGGAGGAGAAAAAAAGGGGAGAAACAGUGGAAAAAUACCUGGCCCUGCUUAAAAUUCAGCGGAAAAUUCAGAGAAAUUAUGAAUUCCUGUUGCCGGAUCCUUCCGAAAAUUCCUCCUUUUUUAAAGAAAUUUCACUGAAAUUUUCACGGUAAAUCCGCGAAUAUUUCAGAGAAAAAAAGGGAUGAGAAGAAUCUGGGCAAACGAAGUCAAAGGCAGCGGCGACGGGAAGAAAACCCUUACCCCAAUCGGAGAGCCUGAAAAGCCUCGGAUAAUGAUUAGAAAAUUGGGGAAGAUCAUACGAUUCCUCCCCUUUUAAUUCCCUCGAACUCUCCUGCUGAGGGCGCCAUUGGAAUUAUUAUUUUAAAUAAAAGUGGCAGGUAAAGCAGGCCAAAAUUGCUUCACGUACAAUAAUAUAAAAGUUAAAGAAAAGUGCGUAAAUACAUGUAUAUGUAUAUAGAUGCGUUUUCAUUUACACUAAAAACUGAAAUUUAGACUGAGUAACAGUAACUUUUUUUUUUUUACCUUUCUCCCAAUUCUUUAAUUUUAUUUUUAGAAUUCAUGAUUUUUGUUUUUGCACAUUUUUGCUUUUCUAUUAUAUAAUCAAGAAAUGGGUAUUUAAUUAGAGCCAUCCGAUCGUGGAAUGAUGGUUGUGAAUGAUCAAGAAUAAACAUGGAUUUAAGUUUUGAAACGACUUUAACAUUGUUCACCGCAAAGGAGAUAUAUCAAAAAUUAAUUACCAUGAUUCUCAUAACAUCUCAUAUACCAUACUUAAAUGUGAAUUAAUUUUUUAUUUUUAGAAAAAAAAUAUUUAAAGGCACCGAUUAUAGUCACAUGAAAAAUCUAUGGAAUCAUAAUUAUUGAUUUGGCUCCUCUAAGAUGAAUAUAUCAUUAUGAUUCGCAGAUUGUAGGGAUAUAUUUUUUCCACAUAGUAAAAAAAAUUAUCCAUAUAAAAACGAUGAGUGAUCAAUAAUAUUUUUUUAUAGAAAAUUAAUAUUUAAUACUACAAUAAUCACAACUUGAUGGUGAUUUUUUCGAAUGAUAAGUCAGAAUAAUUUUUUAGUCUUCUUCUAGUAUUUACUGAUGGAAAUUAACUUUUAGCCUCGUAUUCAAAUAUAUCAUGUUUGUGAUUUAAUUGCUUAUAUUUUUAACUUCAAGAUAAACUAUUUAAGGUAUAAACCUUAGGUGUGUAUAAUAUAAUUGAGAAAUUUUAUUAAAUUUAUCAUCAAAGGAUACCAAAAAUCAUGAAAUAAAGCAAUGGCGUCAUAUGUUUUGUUUUCUAAUAUUUUAAAAUAUUUUCAAGAUUUAAUGUUCUAAUAAAAAAAUUAAAAAAAAAAGUAGAAAUCAAGCACAUCAAGAUUUUUGUUUAUCAAAAAUAGUGAAUAAUUAAGAUACAGUGAAACAACAUUUAAUGCUAUUAUGAUUUUUUUAUUUUUUGGGUAAGCUAUUAUAAUGCUAUUAUGAUUUUUUUUAUUUUUUGGGGUAAGCUAUUAUAUAUUUAUUUAUUGAUUCCUUUAUUUUCUAUUUCAUUUGUUUUAUUACUAGAUUUCUAAAUUACAAUGGAAGACAAUUAAGAAAAACACUAAUUUGAUCCACAAAAUACCUAUUCAAAUUUAAGACUGCACCAAAAUCUUUCCUUCAAUAUUAAAUAAUUAAAGGAUGUUGAAAAUACUUUUCAACUUUCGUACAAAAUAUUAAUGUAAGGAUAUAAUGAAUCAAUUUGAAUAUUUCCAACAAUAUCUAUGGUUUUAAAAUUUGCCAAGUAAGAAAGAAGAGUUUGUUUUAGUAAACUAUUUGCAUAAUAAUCUUUGCUAUUGUAAUUGUCAUUUUAGAGUACAUCUAAAUGAUGAUAAAAAUCUCUCUAAAUCAUAUCGUUCGUCAUACAUUUUUUCUCUCCAUUUUUUCAGAAAUAUCUGGGAUCUUAUCAUUAUGAUCUAAAAAGCCCUAAAUGCACUAUCCAAUAAUAAGUCUCCAUGAAACUGUAUUUAUGCGAGAAAGGUAAUCAUGAGAGAGAAAUUAACAGAAAAAAAAAAAAAAGACCUUGCUGAUCAUAAACUUCCAAAAAUUGAAGAUAUUGAACUAUCUUUAAGAAUCGAUUUCCAAUAUCCCCAUUUUCUGUGGACUCUAUGACUUGAAAUUUUCUUAAUGGAUAAAAGUCCUCUCUCUGUGUUGUCUCAACUGCUCACGUUUUAUAAGUCUCUCCCAUGUAUGGUAUAAUUAAAGGAGAGUUAGUCAAGAGAUCCAAACAUGUCUUAAAGGAAUCUUUUAUUGAAAACAAGGGCAAUUGAUAACAAAAUACAAUUAUCUUCUCUACCUUCUCAUAUUCAUGUGGAGGACAAAGAGACCAAUCCAUAUAUAUUUAUGCAGCUUGUGUGGCUAUUUCUAUUGAUGAUUUUCUAUAAAAGAAUGCUUUCAUAGUAAUGAACUUAUAUAUUAUGAUCUCCUGAAUUAAUCCCACCUCGAGAGGUGGAAAUCUUCAUAAAAAAAAUUGUAGCUAAUUGCAACCUAAAGGUUUCUUUGACAAACACCCAUACUAGUCUCCUAAAACCUAUACAAUUGGGCCAACUCAAAUUUGACUUCUAUGGAUCGAUGGAUAGCAACGGUGAAGGAUGAGCAUUGUUUCCAUAAUUAGUUGACAAAUUGCUUGAUGCUAAUGCAUUUUCUCUUGUUCCAUCCUUAGCACCAAAUGCCAACUAAUAACUACUUGGUUUGGACUUCUUUGUGCAAUAGACUGCUUUGACGUAAAUUAAAAUAUAGAUAGAGGUUUUAAAAACCCUCGUUACCUGUUAGGGUCCAUCAAAAUUUUGUUAUGCUUUAUAGUAGCAUAUUACACUUUUGGAUCAAGUGGCUUUUCCAGUUUUGAAAUGGAAAGGAAAGACUCAGUUUAAUAGAGAGAUUGAAGCAUGUCAUACACCAUAUGAUAAGUUUGGAGUAGAGUGCUUUCAUAAAAAGCCGAAGUAUCUUGGAUAAUAUAAUAAUGGCCCAACAAAUUGUGUAUGACUUGUAUAGAGUUUCAAUCACACGUACUUAUAUGCCAAUUAAAUUGGAUAUAGUGGAAAGAGCAUAUAAUAGAGUUCGAUGGGAGUUCCUUUAUAGUUUAGUUUCUCAGAUGUAUGGAUUGAUUGGAUUUAGGGUUGUAUUAUCUCCUAGGGUUAAGCAAAUAAUCGAAACAUGAAAAAACCCACCUAAUCCAAUUCAAUAAACAUCGAUUUCGAUUGAUUGAAAGAUAUAAAUUGGAUGGAAUCGGAUUGAAAUUUAGUAAAAAAUCGAUUAUUUACAGUCAGAUUCGAUUUCUACACUUUUAACCCAUAUAAAAUCGAACCAAACUGAUGUAGUAUUUUACAAACUCAUUUUUAUUUUGUGACGGUAUUGUUUAGAUUUCAAUACUUCAUCCUAAAAAAUAUUUCGUCAUCUAUUUAGAUUCAAAAAAAUAUUAAUGUUGAAUUAUUCAUGGAAGCACCUCAGUUUGAAAUAAUUCUAAAGUGAAAACUUUCAGAUGUAAUGGCUUUCAGAUNNNNNNNNNNNNNNNNNNNNNNNNNNNNNNNNNNNNNNNNNNNNNNNNNNNNNNNNNNNNNNNNNNNNNNNNNNNNNNNNNNNNNNNNNNNNNNNNNNNNNNNNNNNNNNNNNNNNNNNNNNNNNNNNNNNNNNNNNNNNNNNNNNNNNNNNNNNNNNNNNNNNNNNNNNNNNNNNNNNNNNNNNNNNNNNNNNNNNNNNNNNNNNNNNNNNNNNNNNNNNNNNNNNNNNNCAAGUCUCUUGCUUCAAAGCCACCACCUCCUUGCUCAAGAUCAACUUUGAUAGGAGAGAUGUUUUUGAUGGAGUAGGCUUCAUUAUCAAAAGUGUAGUGGUGCUUUUGUGGCUGCAGGUGGUGUUAGGAUUUAUGACAAUCGUUCCAAUGGUGGAAUUGUAUGCAGCAUGGGGAGGAUCAUUUUAUGCUAAAUAUUACGGGCAAUCAAUAUUUAUUUUGAAAGAGAUUUUCAGAUAGUUAUUAGAUGGCUCCUUCAUCCAUUAUUUGAUGAAACUAGAAUUCAGCUUCUUCUAGAUUGCUAGCGAAUGUUUCACGCACCGUUCUCAUUUGAAAUUUCUUUUAUAUAGAUAGGGAAGCCAAUAGUAAAGUUGAUUGAAUGGCGCCUUAUAUAACUAAUUGUACAAUAUCAAUGUUAAAGAAUUCUAGAAGAUAUCUUCUGUUCCAUUGUUAAUUGUUUUAUUUGUUGGUUCUUAUGGAUAUAUAUAUAUAUAUAUACUCAUUUGGUUUAAUUUAUCCAUUNNNNNNNNNNNNNNNNNNNNGCAAGUCUCUUGCUUCAAAGCCACCACCUCCUUGCUCAAGAUCAACUUUGAUAGGAGAGAUGCUUUUGAUGGAGUAGGCUUCAUUAUCAAAAGUGUAGUGGUGCUUUUGUGGCUGCAGGUGGUGUUAGGAUUUAUGACAAUCGUUCCAAUGGUGGAAUUGUAUGCAGUAUGGGGAGGACCGUUUUAUGCUAAAUAUUACGGGCAAUCAAUAUUUAUUUUGAAAGAGAUUUUCAGAUAGUUAUUAGAUGGCUCCUUCAUCCGUUAUUUGAUGAAACUAGAAUUCAUCUUCUUCUAGAUUGCUAGCGAAUGUUCCACGCACUGUUCUCAUUUGAAAUUUCUUUUAUAUAUAUAGGAAAGCCAACAGUGAAGUUGAUUGGAUGGCGCCUUAUAUAACUAAUUGCACAAUAUCAAUGUUAAAGAAUUCUAGGAGAUAUCUUCUGUUCCGCUGUUAAUUGUUUUAUUUGUUGAUUCUUAUGGAUAUAUAUAUAUACUCAUUUGGUUUAAUUUAUCCAUUUUACUUUAGAAAAAAAAAAAAAAUACAAGACCAAAGGUCAGCUACGCAAUAAAGUCUAAAUGUUGUCAUCUCUAAUUUGCUUAGAUAUAUGAUUUGAGCAACAUUGUAUGAUUGUUUCCAAUCUCUAAAAUCAAUCACAUGCGUGUAAUCCAAGCGCCCAUCUAGUCACUUUUCUCUAAGGUUAAACCACGGUCCCAUGAAUAUGAUGAGUAAUUGGAGGAACGCUCAUGCACAGAACCUCUACCUUUGCAUAGUCCCUGGAUCAUGGGACGGUGGCCAUGGCAGAUGAACCACGGAGCCGAGGUUGGGGACGGGGAUAAUGGGUGCAAGAAAGAGAGAGGGAUUAAACUCCAAGACAACAGCUUAAUGUUUGCAGAUUUAUUUCUAAGACUCCAAAAUAAGCAUUAAACAAAUUCCACCUAUAUGGGACCUAUUAAGAACCUAUUAAGAAAAUAAAAAUCCUCCUUGAGCCACCUCUUACAUGUCAUGAUGCCAUCACCAUCAGAGGUCGAUCUCUGUACAGAAUGGUAAUAGCAAAAGUGGAAGCAGAGAUUUCUGAAUCCCUGAUGAACAGAGAUGGUUUCGGUGGACCAAUAUGUUAGCAGAGUCUAGAGGAUUGGUGCAUUGAUGUUACCUCGGUAUUCAUGUUACAUACAAUUGCAGAAUCAUAACUUGAUUUGCUAUACCUUCCAACAUCUUGGAUCUUUAAGUUUCUGCCAAGAUAACGCCAGCAAAACGAGUCACUCUUUUUAUAGCUCUUAUUCUCACAUACAUGAAGAAGCAAUUUAACAUACGUUAGAAAAAACAGUAAAGCAAGGUUUUAUUUUAUAUUUGCCCACAUCCUUGCUAUAGUCCUAAUUCAAAGGAAUAAUGAUCAUACUCUAAUUUAGCAUAUUGCAUAAUUACACUCCAUAAUGCUCGAUUUCGCUCAAAACUAUCAAGAGACAUUUCUAUAAUCAAACUUCCCAUGAUGAACAUAAAAUGGAAGCUAGACAUAUACCACCUACCACAUGCUGGCUUUAUUCUCCUCACUAAAGUAAAUCCUAUUCCUGGCAACAACCAGAACAAAGUCCAACAUGCUUGCAUAAUAUCUGCAGUCAAAGAACUCCCAAGCCACAAUGAGCCAAUCAAUAGAUACCAUACUGAACAAAACUGCUAAAUUUCUCAAGAUAAAAAAAAAUACCAGCAUCAAUUAUCCGUUAAGAUUACAACAUAAGUAUGGUUUAGUUUACCACCAGCAACAUAAUUCUCAUAAAUAAAAUUGGAACUGAGCAAUGACCAGCUCCACCAACGGCUUUCACCACCAACAAACACCAUCUAGCUGAAAGCUUGCAAAACCCUGGUAAACUGACAGUUAAUAAUUAGACAGAAAAAUACUUCUCUCAGGCCCAUAAAUCCAUCUCUACUAUAGUUCAGACUUGGUACUUGUUUCCUAGACUCCAAAGGGUGAUCUUCUCAGAGAAGUGAUCCUUCCACUCAUGAAUAGAAGCAAAAGGCAACAAACCGCAUAAUGUGGGAAGAACCAGUAACAGAUUACCGUAGAAUGUGUAUCGCCUAAUCCAGUAUGGAAGCCUGACCACCUUAGCUCCUCGAGACACAGAAACAGGGCCAUAAAGAAUACGGUAAAGAGCAGAUGGAAACACAUUUGCAAAGAAAUGAAGCAAACAAAGACCCUCCCAAUACAAAAGCCAGCAAUAACCAUUCCCUCCCAAUGUGUCGACGCAAAACUUUCCAGCAAAACCACAAACAACUCCUAACAGCAGGAGAAUAAAUGUCACAGGCAUAGUUGACCCAGCCAUUGCAGAGCGUUGAAAAACCAGGUAUGCAACUGACAGAAUCAUCAAUAUGCCAAACAACAUACGGGUUAGGGCUACCAAGUGACAUCUCAGCAUAAGCCAGCCUGAACUGAAAGAUGCCACUGGUUUUGGGAUCCACCAAGAUCUGGACUCCUGACAGGAAAAAAAAAAAAAGGGAAAGAGAAAUAUCAAAAACUCUUUAUCUCCAGAAAUGACAGCAUUCAUGCAUACAGAGUUAGAACUUAAAAAUAUAUGAAAACAUACCUUAAAAGUGGAUGUACAGGUUGAUGUUGCCUCUGUGAUCCGUUGGUAUGAAUAGAUGGAUGCUCCAUAUAAAAGGAAGCCAGACAUGAUAAUCAAACCAGUGACAAGAAGAUCUAUGCACCUUUUGAGGAGUUCCACAUGCUUCAUAUUCUGCAUUUUAUUCCUUAAUUUCUCUUCCUCAAAGGAAGCCUUUGAGAUACCCAUAGAUAUUUUUAUCUUCUCUAACAAAUUUGCAUGGGAAGUGAGGACUAACUGAGAUUGCUUCAUUUGCAGUCUUUUCAUGAUUAGAUUUAACUCAACCUCCUUGAGAUUGUUAGAGCGAGUCUGCUCCACAACAGAUCUCUCAAAUGUAUCCAGAAUGGAUUGAUUAAAUCCAGGAUUGGCUACUCCAUUUGAUACAAGAGCUACCUCCUGAUUUCUUUGCCCAUGAAGAACAAGUUGAUUCAUGGAAUUCGAUGAUGGAUUCUCUUGAAACUCCUCCAUAGUGCUGACCUUGAGAUCAUUAGAGCAAGUCUGCUCCACCAUGGAUCUCCCAAAUGUAUCCAGAAUGGAUUGAUUAAAUCUAGGACCGGUCACUCCAUUAGAAACAUGAUCUACCUGCUGAUUUAUUUUCCCAUGAAGAAGAGCAUGAUUCAUGGAAUUCAAUGAUGGCUUCCCUUGAAACUCUUCCAUGGUGCUGGGGGCUUCAUAAGUGCCUAAGGUAGGUGCACUGUCACAACUGUUACUGAUAAAUGAACUACAAAUAGUAUUUCCUUGCUCAAUGGUAGAUGUUUCGUUGAUUAGCCAAAGGGUCUUUAGUGUGCUACUAAAUGAUUUCUCAAAGUUUCUUGUGAAACAUUCAAACUUGUCCCCAUAUAUCUACUCCAAAAAAAAGAAAAACAAAGGCAAGACUUCCAUUACAAUUCGGCAUAGUAUUGCUUGUGAAUAACCUCAAAGAAUUUGAAAUUGACAAAUAGAGACAAUGAUCAGCUGCGAUCCAGACUUACAUUUGUUAUAGAUUCUUUCACAGCUGAAGUACAGAUCUGCAAACCAUAACUAUAUGUGAGAGAGUAAUACAAUAUUCUCACUGUAUGUUUAGUUUUUAUGUCAGAUAUAAGGAUUUGAACAGUGUACCAUGGAAAGGCGACCUACUGGUAUCCUCUCUCCUGAGACAUUCUUCCUAUCUAAAAUCUGAAAUCAACAAAACAUCAAAAUCAUCAGCCAACUGAGCACUCAAAACCAUGAAUUUAAACACAAAACAAAAGAAGCAGAAAACAUGGCAUAUUGGACAUGGGAAAGGCGCUAAAACUGAUCUUACUUAUCCAAUCAAACAUCAAUUUAAAGAUGAUAAUUUGCUAUUACUUGGACCGCAAUUUCUUCACUCAUUGUGAAGCUGGAUUUCUUGGAUACUACUGACAUGGGAGAACAGAGUAACAAACACCUUUGGCAGAUAUCAAAUGGUUAAUAUAACCUUUUUUUUAAAAAAAAAUUAGAGGUAAUUUGAAAUUUUACUAGCACAAAAUUCGGGUCCGUUAAAUGCAGACUUGAUUCUAACUCGGUCUUGAAAAUUAAUUUCAGAGAUCGGCCUAAUUCCUACAAUUUGAGCUGUCGUUGGAGUCAUAUUAUGGUCAAGUUAUAACUGGACCCAACAGUUUUGCUGCCAGGAACAUAGCAAGGGUGGAAAUCACCAAUGGGAUAAGAUAUGGACCAUUGCAACCCCAAUCAUAAAUAACAGAAUGAGUCCCAGCACCGAAGGCUUCUGCACUAGGACAACAGCUCUGCUUGCUUACACCCCUACUAUGCAUGAGGGCAUGCCAAUGUCUUUAUGAUGAAAUUAGGGGAAAACCAAGAUAAUUUUUACAACGAAACUAAACCAAUGUCUCUCAUUUCAACAGAAUCAUGAAAAUUUUGGUCAAGAAUACGUGAAAUUAAAUUAAAAAAAGAGCAUUUUAAACCCUGAAGAAGAUGAAAUAAGGGGAAAACAAAGACCUUUUUUACGGUGAAACUAAACCUAUGUCUCUCAUUUCAACUGAAUCAUGAAGAUCUUGGUCAAGAAUACGUGAGAUUAAAUAAAAAAAGAGCAUUUUGAAGAAAAGAAAAUUAAACCCUAAAGAAGACCGACGGACCUGGGCAACUACAGCGGCGAAAGACAUUCCAAGCGGAAGAGCAAGAUCGUGGCAAUCCUCACCGUCGCCACGCCGCCGACGAUGAGACGCCCAAGGACCGCGCCAUCUGCUCCUCAGGCGCACGCCUCUCUGCAGCGGCUGCCGAAAAGAGGAGGAAGGAGACGAAGAGGAAGAAGAAGAAUCGGUAUCCUUCGGCACCCUCUCAGUCUUGGAGGUAGAAAACCUAACCCCCUUUCCCUUGCUGAGGAGCGGCCGCCGCCGCAGGGGCUGGGCAGCAAUGGGAUCUCCGCCGCUGCCGCCCCGUUCCCCGGCGUCGCAGCCCUCCGCUCGUCCGGCGGCAUCCUGGGGGCUGGGAGGAGCUUGGGCGGAGGAGCAAGGGAAGAGGAUCGGGUGGCAAGAUUCCAUUGCCGGAGAGAAGGAGAAGGGAAGGGAAAAGACAGACGCUCGGAUUUCGGAAUUCGAAUAAAUUGGGGAGGGUUGGGGGAAUUUGGGAAGUUCUGUCCAAACAAAUUUUUUUUUUUCCCUGAAAGUUUCGACAGAGUGUGAAAGAUUUUUUUUUUCCCCUCGCGGUCGGACGGCACGCAACCAAUCACAGCUGUUCAUUUCUGUGAACUUCAUUGAUGCAUUGUUAUAAAACGAGCAACUAUAAUUAUCUGCUAUAUGAUAAACAUAAUGCAGGUUUAAUUUCUCCAAAGAUUUUAUCUUUUUCACGCAAAUGAAAGAUUCACCUUCCUUUGCAUGAAGCCACCAGUUUGUGCCCACUCCAAGAUUUGUGCAGCUGGGUAAAUGAAUGGAUUCAAAAUACUUUGAGAUCUAUGCUGGAUGUAAUCCAAUGGGUGAUAUCAUCGGGGGAAAAAAAAUCAAUCAUUCCUUCGUAGGGAAGGGGAAGAAAAUGAUCAAGAAUUUUAAUGAGUUUUACCAAAAAAAAAAUUUAAUGAGUUUCUAAGAAGGUAAAAGCUGAUCAACAUAUCAAAAUACCAUGACUUGGAAAAUAAUAGCUACUUUCUUUAGUAUCAAUCUUGUGUAAAUUAGGGAUAGCAAUGAAUUGAAUAUAGGUUGGAUUAGCUAAUAUCCAUACAUAUUUGGUGAUUAAAAACUCAAUAUCCAUUCCCGCCCCAUUCUUUGGUCGUUAGAUCACGAUCACUAGCCUAUAAGUCACCGUAUUUAAUCGAGAAAAGGGAUGCUCUAUUCCCUAUUUUUCUUUGAUUAUUUUUUUUUAUCUUCUUCUUUCUUUUUCGAUCAUAUUUGCUAUCGAAUGCCAAUUGUGGAAUGCUCAGCUACGUUGGCAUGGCCCUAGCCAUCGUCGGCUAGGAGCUCCUUUAUUUUGAGAAAGAAGUGGAAGUAAUCUCCUAUUUUGCGAAGAGCCAAAGAGAGAAAAAGAAGAAAAAAAAAGAAAAAAGAAAAGAAAAAAAAGAAAAAAAUAAUAGGAAAAAAAAGAAAAGAAAGAGAGAGAGAGACUUUUUCUUUUCAUUUUCUCUCUAUAGAAUCUCCAUCCAUAUGAUUUUUUUUCUCUAUUAGGUUUUUUGGAUCUUAGAUAAAGGUCUUCUCUUAAUAAUUUUGAUCGAUCUUUAUGAAGGGAAUCUUGAUUCAUGGUUUCUGAAUAAUGUAUCGAUUUCCACCCUAGUCAAACUAGGUAUCAUUAGAUUUCACUAUCAAUUGCAUGCUAGCAUCCAAGCAUAACUCUUAGGGGAUGUUUGGUAUGGGGUAAUUAACCCAAGAUUAAGGAUGAUGUGAGUAAAGGUGAUAAGAUCACCGCAAUUGAUAGUACUAUGGUAAUCCUAUAUAACAGUGAUCAUAAAUCACCUGUAUUCCUCAAAUCGCUAUCCAACCCAAUGAAGAGAUACUUGUCCUUAAGAUUGGGAAUCCAAGAUCACCUCCAAGUAGUGAUCUUGGGCUGAAAUUUGACAACAAAAAUACCCUUUAAUCUAAUAAAAAAAUUAAUAUAUCAAUAUAUUAUUAAUAUAUUAUAUCAAUAUUAUAUAUCUGAUAUUAUAUUAUAUUGAUAUUAUAUAUAUUAUGAUUCAAUGAUAAUUUCAAAUUAAAGUAGAAAUAUCUUAUUGUACUUUAUAUUUAUAUAAUAAAAUUAUUUAAUAUAUUACUUCUAUUUAUCUCAUUUUUUAAUUAAAAUAAAUAUUAGUAUUUAUAAAUAAUAUAUUAUAAGUAUAAAUAAAAUAUUAAUUUUAUAAUAAUAAUUAAAAUAUUUUAUAGGAUUAAUAAUCUAAAGACUAAUAAAUAAGUUUUAUAGAAUAUAUUAAUAGUUAAUUAUUAAAAAUAUAUUAAUAUUUUAUGAAAAUAUGAGAGAUAGUUUUGAUAUGAUAUGGUCAGUGAUUUUGGAUUCUCAUGGAAUACCAAACAGAUUAAUUAUAGAUAUCUAGCGAUAUUAAAACUCGAUCAUAACCUAUCAAACAUAAUCAUAUUUAACUAUUAGAGAUUAGGUCAUCUUAGAAUUCAAAUCAUCGAUGAUCUUAGAUCAUCAUGGUGAUUCUAUAUAGAUCGUUAAACAUCCUCUUAAUUUGUAAUUGAUCAAUUGAAUGUCCUAGAUUGAACCGAUCGAGACAUCUAGCACUAUUACUUGGCCAGUCCUAUGAUGGUUUCGAAACUUAAAAAUUUUAUUCUUAAAAUAAUCAUGAUUGAAUUUUGAAAAAAAUAUAAUUUUUGAUAUUAGGUUAUAAAUAAGAAUCUCACAAUCAGUUGGAUUUGUGUAAUUAUUAUGCAUGCAAGGUAAAUAAUAAUCUACUUUUUUAAAAAAAAUUAUUUAUACAAAAUUAUUUUUAAUAUCGAAUAAAUUGUUAAUUGAUGUAUAUAUGAUUUAUAAGUUUUAUGAAAUGAUGUUUUGAAUGAAAAUUGAUAUGAAAUUUUAAAGUAAUAUUUCUCAGGUUAUUAUUAUAAUUAUUUAUUUAUCUUAUAUCUUAUAUGUAUAUUUUGUUAUUCUGUAAUAAGAAUUUUAAUAUGUAUUGCAUUUGGACUCAGCCUGUCUAUAUUCUAGAUCCUGCCAAUUAAGGGUUAUGCAUUUGCACUCGGACAAUGAUUAAGCUCAUUAUUCUAUUUCAGGCCCCACUAUAGGAUAUAAAUAUAAUAUUCCGACCCACAUUAUAGAAUAUAAGUAUGGUAUUCUAGCCUACACUAUAUGAUAUAAGUGCAGUAUUCCGAUCCAAUCCAUGGAGUAUAAGUAUAGUUCUCUUUCUAACCCAGCCACAGGAUAUAAAUAUGGUCAUAAUUAAAAGUUGAUGAGUUGAAUGUGAUGUAUUUCUAAUUAGAUUUAUGAUUAUGCAUAUGAAUAUUUGAAAGAUAUUGGUUUUAUUGGAUUCGUAUUUUGAAACAUAAUUAAUUAUAUCUCUAUACCGAUUUGUGGUAAUUGAUAUAUGAGUAUUGUAUCUUAUGAUAUUACAUGAAUUAUCUAGUUAAAAUAUUUAUUAUUUAUGAAGCUAUCAAGCUUAUUAUUAUUUUUUUCUUUUCAGAUUUAAAUGUUUAAUUACGAAUACUGGUACAGUAAGAAUGAGAUUAAAAGCAAAAUUCAACAAUAUCAAUAUAAUUUAGAUUUAUUAUUAUAUUUUAUAAGAUUAUUAAUACAAAUUUAUUUGAUGUAAAACUUUUAAAAAGUUUAUUUGUUAGUUAGAUUUGUUGAUAAAUUAAAUUUUAAAUUUUAGUUAUCUAAAUUAUCUCCACUGCAAUGCAAUUAAUAUCAUGAUGGAAUGCCUUGCAUGUUUAUAGAAAGAGUUCUCUAUAAAUAUGCGACGGUUGCCACGACUCUUGGCUUGCAAUCUUGGAUCAAAAACACCAUAGAUUGUGAUGCCCUUGUUUAAAACCAUGAUUUUAAUACAGUAUUGAUUUGAAAAAUCUUUUUCAUAACUUUGAAAACUGCUCCAUGAAUUUAGAAAAAGCAAUGUUUAUAAAAAUUUAACCUCUAACUAAUCAUGACAAAAACGGAAAAAUUGAUCCUUCCUCUUCGCCGGAUCUGUUAAUCUGUUUAGCCAAUCCACGAGUAGUGAAGCGCGAUAUGGCUAUAUUUGCAUAUAUGGCUUCGCUUAUUUGUUAGCUAGAAAUUAGAGAAUUUUUCAAGCUAACCCUAUGUCAGCUGCACAUCUUCUUCGGUUAUGCCUUUGCUUCUGUAAUGAUCAUUUAUGUGCCUCAUCUUUCAAUACUGAAGUGGCAUUCCAGUUAAGAAACUGGGCUCAUCAUAAGCUGUGCAUGCAGCUAUCAUCUCCACAAUUAAUAUCAUGGACUCCCCCUCCCUUAGGAAUGCUCACUUUAAAUUUUGAUGGUUCACUUCAGUCACUGAUGAUAGAGCUGCUGGAGGCUUCAUUAUCCGGAAUAAUGAAGGUGCUACGCUGGUGAUUGGUGGCAAGCUUCUUCCUCAUUCAUCUGUACCUUUUGCAGAAUUUAUUGGAGUUUGGAUGGGAAUUGAAUAUCUUAUCUCCCAUUUUCUUACUCGGCACAUAUGGAUCCAGCGCGACUCUUCAGUUGUUGUUAUUUCCUGGCUUAAAAAUCUUCAGUAUAAUAAAUUGAAUCAUUCCCCAUGGAUGCAAGACGUUGAACUCUGAUUUGAUAGUUUUCAAUCUAUAAAAAUCUCACAUAUCUGUCGGGAAGGGAACCAAGCAGCUGAUUGGGCUGCCUCUUUUACUUUGUCAGGAGAUUUUUUUCUUUAAUUCUAAUCUCUUGCACCAAUAUCCUGAUCUACUUCGAAUUCUGAAGGCUGAUGCUUAUCCGAUUGCGUUUUCAAGACAUGGCCUGUAGAAUUCAAAAAAAGAUUUCUCUUUCUUUCAAAUGCACAGAUUUUUUCAGCUGGAUGUGUGUUUAUUGGUACUUGGGGGUAUUAACUUGCUGUCUUUUAUCUAAAUUACUCCUUAGUACUGCUCAUCUUCGCGUUGCUGGGUCUUCUAUUGGAAAGGAAGUUGUUCGCCGAUGUCCUCCGUAUCAUUGCAAUAUUAGGGAAUCUGGUUGCCUUUUUUUGUCUAUUGGAUUUUUGUUUCAGGAAUUUUAUGCAUGUUUAGCAGGCUGGGGAGCAUUAAUUUUGGAGGAGUCAUAGUGUUUCACCUCUUGUUUUCGUCAUGGUUGCCUUGGUCUUUUCUUGAUUUGCUGGUAUGGUGGUUCUGUUGGAAUGAUGAUGAUGCUGACUCAUUCUGCUUAUCAUGGUAAGUGUGGGCCUUUUGAUCCCAUAAAGAGUGACACAUCCCUUACUCUGCUCCUCUUCAUGAAUGUCAGGCUGGAAAAUGGGGAUCACUGGUUGUGCUUCUCUUAUAAUGUCAGCUCUGAAUUCCUUGAAGGAUGGUUUCCUUUAAUCUUCAGGGUCUUUUUCAAUGGUUUCUAAUGCUCCUAUAUGUUUGAUUUAUGUUGGAUGUCGGUUUUGCUGUUUGGCACACUUUUUUUGGAUAGGAUCUAUUCACUCUUAUUUCUUUCAGUUGGUGUGGGAACUCAAAUCUACUAGGCUAUCAUUGUUGGUUCUCAGGACUUUUGCUUUAACUUUGGACAGCUGUUUUAUCUCCUUGUAUAUGAGAAUGGUUGUUGCAUCAGCUACACCUCAGCUGCUGGUUGGGACAUGGGUCCUACCUGCUACUAUCCCACUUCAUUUUUGCUGGGACCGAAGGAAGAAAUCUGACUUAUUUCUCUCAACGGAUGGGUUGAUUCUUUUAUACUUUUUUGAGCAUUCGCAUUUUUAUGAGCUUUCAGCUUCAUCAAAGAAGCAGAUUUCAACUAUUCUAUUCUUUUAUACUAGUUUUGAUGAUUUUCUGCUCCGAUUCCUCUUCUGGUGUGCCAGAGAGUUUUGGCCCGGGUAUUGCAACAUGUUGUGGCCACUGUUUAUUCAACUGCUUUCUAUUAGUGCCAUAUUGUACUAUGAUGAUAUCUUCUUGUGCCAUUCUUAUACUAUCAGCUUUGAGUUCCUGGGCAUCACACCCAUUACAAUCAGUUGUCUAUCCAUCUGGAGAAUUUCUGCUUUGAAUUAUUACUUAUGUAUGAAGAUUGAUGGACUGCUCUUUUAUGGUUUUAAUUGCUUUUCAGAAUUGCUGGGAGAAACUGUGGUUUUGCUGUUGCAGGUGGAAUCAGGUGGUUUACUUUUCCAUGGUUGGCCUCAUCUUAACUAUCUGGUGAAUUUGAAACAAGAUUUUUUGUUAUUACAGGGUUUAACUGACCUCAGGAUCAUUUUGCGGUACACUAGUGUUACAGUUCAAUUUUGGGAGUAUAUCAUAAUUUUGGUGCUUGUCCUUUUAUCUGAGUCUUUUGUAAUUAUCUCAGUCUUUUGUUUGCUAUGUAUAUUUUAAACUUUUGUUAUUUGGGUACCGUUUAAUUAAUGACAGGUUUUAUUCAAAAAAAAGGGGGUGGGGAGGGGAAUAGAUGAAGGCCAUGAAAAGGAAAAACACGGUGAUAAUUAACAUAUAAACGUUUGCACAACAUCUUUGGAUCUUUAUAACCAACAUCCUGCUAAAAAAUUCAAAAACGAGUUACAUGAAUCUCUCAAACUCACAUGACACCAAGAUUAGGGAUCCCACUGCACUAACGGCUGAAGUUACAUUUUGAGGAGGAAAAACAGAAGCAACAUAAAUGUAAGUGCAACGACAGAUUGCAAAGGUAUCAGCAUUAGAUUGCUUCAACAGCUUGUUCAGUGUUCCUAUUAAGUGGGCUUGCAGGAUUGCCAGAAGAUUCAUUGUUUCAACUCUGAUUCUUUAUCCCAGAUAGAACAAAGUAUUGUUUUAAGUCAUUAUUAGAAAACCAUCAGUGCAAUAGUUCAAGUUCAGAAGGCACUACUUAUAAAAUAUCAUCUGAAAAACCUAUAGUUCGAAACACCAAGGUGAAACAUUGACAGAUGCCUGCUCCCAAGUAAACAUUAGACUAUGACAUGGGUUUCUUUCAUCCAGCACCACCAUACAAAAGUUUACAGCAGAUAAAUCAUCAAUUAGUAUCAUAGGCAAAAUUUUUGACCAAAUUUUAUUAAAAAAAAAAACUGACUCAAGAUGAGUUNNNNNNNNNNNNNNNNNNNNNNNNNNNNNNNNNNNNNNNNNNNNNNNNNNNNNNNNNNNNNNNNNNNNNNNNNNNNNNNNNNNCAUCAAUUAGUAUCAUAGGCAAAAAUUUUUUAGACCAAAUUUUAUUAAAAAAAAAAAACUGACUCAAGAUGAGUUACAUAGAGAAGUAAAAAGAGAGAUUUAAGGUGUUAAUUUAGUUAUUCAGGUGAAGACGUCAUCAGACAACUGAUAUAUGACCUGCAGGUGGUUACAAGACUCAGGAAAAGGUGGUGAAUCGUUCUUCUCAUGAGCAGUAAUGACAAAUGAGUUCUGAGACUCUCUCUCUACCUUUUAACCAUUCCGUAACAUAAUGAGUAACUCAUCUCUUGCAUAUACCAAACUUCAUUGCGCAUAAAUAAAGAACAGACACUUAACGGGUCUAUAUGGGAUAACAUGGAUAGAGGUCUUGACAAAUUGGGGAGCACAGCUAGAGAUCUUUGCAUACCAAUGCCAAUAUGCAAGUCCAAUCAACAUUAGUUUCUAAUACCUUUUUUGUUUUAUAUAUCAGAUCCACCAAUGUUACAGAUGCUGAUUUUAUGUGAAUUUGGUUGAAAUUCAAUCAAAUGCCCGACAGUGAUAUUGAUAGUUUAAAAGGCAUCUAUUCUUAGAGAAUGGUAAAAGAAAGGUGAUGAAAGAAAGACAGCCAGAAAAUUAAACAAGGUUACAGGAAAAGCUGGAUUGAAAGAACAAAUACGACAAAAAACUCUACCAGCAAUCUCCAUUGCAUUUAUAGCCAGCCAUCUAAUUACUGUUCCAAGUGGCAAUGUUUGCAAACACUGGACUCUUAGGGCUUCCCAAAAGAUCACUUGAUGUGCCUUGUGAUGAUGGAUUACGGGCUCCUAUGGCUUCACCUGGUGCAACGUCCGACACUUCUCUGUUUUUGGCAAUAAAACUACCCAAGACCACCUGCAAUGAGCAAUUGACAGUUGUAAAACACUGAGAAUAGGAACCUGCUAGAGGAAGAGUAAGCGGGUAAUACAUAAAUAACAUAUUGUAAAAGAUUGUCAACACAUUGAAACACCAAAACUAAAAGAAAGAAUUGAUUUUUAUUUAGUAUCAUUAUAGCAUGUAUGAUAAUGUAUCAGUUUGAAAUCAUAUCCUUUCAAACAGCCCCAGAGAAACACAUUAUUCAAAACAUAAGUAUUAACUUCAUGGACCAGAUGAGAGAAAGCUCAUGUUCCAGCAAUAAUUUAAGAUAUACAGGGAGGAAUUAAAGAAAUUAUUUUAAAUGACAUAAUUUAAAAUUUAACCAGGAUUUUCUGAAUUAACAAUUCAGAAAAGGAAAACAGACUAACUUGCUAAUAACUAUUCAUCCAAUGAGGGCUGCAUGAAACAUGCAUAUCUCAGAAAAAGUAAUUAUAAUCACCAGUUUUAAGCGGAUAAAAGAUGUGUACGUUAACUUGUAAGGAACAUUCUCAUUCUGUAAAUCUUUAAAAACGUGAUAUAGCAUCAAACAUCUACCUAUAUUACCAUGCAAGUAUCCAUUAAUAAUAUAUACUGAAAAUUGAAGGGUUAUGUGAAGAAAAUAGUUCCAACCCAAUCAGUAACGGUUUUAUGGAAUUCCACACCACAAAAUGAAUUAAGAAUGACCUGCACAGGAGAUGCUGCUGUCAUGAGUCCAGGCACACCACCUAGAACACGACCAUCAAGGAAAGCAAGUGACACACUUAGCCCUCCUGUUCGGCUGCACUGGUCCCUGCUCUCUGAUGGCAGAGAAUUGCCAGAAAGUGACAGAAUUUCAAAAUGACCCUGUGUAUUAAUCACAAAAGCAUUAAUAUUUAAUACAAGUAAAAAAAAAAAAACACCUCUAAAUUUAUCGGUAUACCAAAGGUAAAAAUUCAACUUUAUUCACCAGUAGUAAAAAGUUGUGGAACACUAGAAUGAUGAAUGUUUACGAGACUUUAUCAUCUAGCUAUAUACAAAACAUCAAAUUUUUAGUAUCUCUGUAAUACAUGAAACAUAACCAAAUCACAACCAUCAAGCCUUGUAUCAACUAUAUGGGGUGAAGAUCAAAUGAACAAAGAUAAGUAGAAGAGGGACAGCAGAUGACUUGAAUACUAAACAAUGGGUGUUUCUAAGAUUGCACACAGGAAAUUAAUUUUCGACAUAUCAGUUGCAAUUCCAAAUCACAAACCUCAUAAGUUGUCUCAGAAGAGGUCAUUGCCUGUUGGAAGGUCACUUUAGAAAUAACACCACAUGCAGAAAGAAUACAAACAGCACGUGAUCCUUGUUGUAAGAAAGUCAUAAUUUUUGAUACAACAUCCUGAAACCAAAAAAAAACAAAAAAUCAUAUUAGUUGCUUGUUAAUGUUUGCAGAUCUCUUUUAAGACAAGGGAAAAAAGGAGGAAGAAGAAGACGUAGAAGAAGAAGAACAAGAGGAGGACGAGGAAGAGGUUAGCAGAUGAUUUUAUAGACCUGAAAUUCAGCAUUAAGCUCAACCCGCAAAAAAAGCUUGGUCCCAUCUAAAUGAUGUGGUGUUGACACAUGGAUCAGACGAUUCAAAACAGUAUCCACAACUUCAAGAUCAGAAUCCAAUUGGAGGAACUGAUCUCCUGAAUAGAGCAACCUCUCUACAUACCAUGAUGCCAUCAGCAUGGAUAGAUGGAUCAAUUAGAGGCGGAUCCUUUCAGCAUAUAUAAAGUGAAAGGGGAAGAGUUUUCUGAUGCACAUACACAGACAGACAAGUAAUGAGACAUGCACACAUGCGCACACAUGCACGCACCCAUGCAAGAGAGAGAGAGAGAGAGAGAGAUCGCCCAAAAGACUUCUCGAUUAUGGUUGAUGAAUUUGUACCACAGUCUGGGGGUAAUUUAGUGCAGCACCACAAAAAAAGACUGUAUAAAUAGGUCUCUCAAUUACAAGCAAUCAUUUAAGAAGGCAAAAUUUUCUUUGCAGACCACUGGAUCGGCCUAAAUAAAGGGGUUGCCAAAAUGGCUUCAUGGCACCCUUAUUACAAUAUCAAAACAUAUAAAAGCCAAUGGAUCAUGGUUGUUAUAAAUAUUUCAUGAUCAUUAUAAAGAUGUUAUAUGAUGGUAAUAGCAUAAUAUCUUUUAUAUGUACCAUUAUUUAGCAAAUUGAAUUGCAAUAAUACAUGUCAAUUGUUCAAUAUAAAACCCCAUAACUACAUUCUAGAUCCAUUUAUUUUUUUUUUGCACAUCAAUUUAGAAUAUAUACACAUAUGCAUCUCACAGUUUCUUUUUCUUUCCAGAACUUAAUAAGGGAGUUCUACCGGCAAUAAUGAACAAAAUCAAUCUUAAUAUGAACAGGAUCAUUAUCUAAAACAAGAUUCACUGAACUGGUACUAUAGGGCAUCCUGGCAGGUGAGCAGUUCAGCAUGGUACGGACACAUAAUGUGCCAUUCCAGGACAUUUCAAACUUCUUUUUAUUAUUUUCAAAUUUCCAAAUGAAGUCAGCUAAUGGUUUGCCGAGUUCACCAAAGGAAAGUCGGUAUAAGGUUUGCUGACUUCAAUUCGAAAUUUAGAAAUAAAAAAGGGUUUUAGAAUAGAGGACCGCGAUUGCGAUCCUCUGCUUCGUUCCCUUUCUCUCCUGUUCCACAGAGGACAGCACUGUGGUUGAUCUUCUCUUUCUCUCUUCCCCCCUCUUGGUGAUAGAAGAGGGCAAUCGGCCUAGCAAACCGAAUAGGACACUUGAACCAUGCUGGUAACUUAAUGGGAAACUUGAACUAUUACCAAUGACUAGUUCUUCAUUACCUAGAUUAAAAUAACUACUUAGAAUAGUGAUACAUUAUAUUUAUCGAGAAAUGCAAAAUGAUAUGGACAUGAGUUUGGUGGAUACAUCCUUACCUUGAUGAAAUAAAUGGAAUUCUUGGUGGACAUUAGUUUUAAAACUCUUUAUUUGGAAAUCUUCAACUUGUCACUAUUUGUAUUUAUUUAUGCCAUGUUUGAUUCACACCCAAAAAAAAAAAAUCAGAAUGGGAAAUUAUAAUGGAACAGAAACGGAAGACAUGGAAAUAGAAUGAGAAUCACCACACCAGUUCCAUUGUGUGGGAUGAAAUGAAAGGAAUGCAAGGGAAUAGAAUCUCCAUUCCAUUCUAUUAUUUACUUAGCCAAUUAUAUUUCAGAAUAAAAGCAAAUAUUUAACACUUAUUUGAGCAUACUCUUGAGCCUUGAUCAAGGAAUACAAGAAAAUUUUAAAAUAAUGAGCACUAUAUAACGUUGGAAGCCUCUUGUUAUAUUAUAUAUGCAUAAUUUCAUUGUUCAUCCAAAAAAAUAUUUUUCUUAAAUGCAAAUGUAAAUAUUUAUUCUUAUUUUACACCAUAAAUGCUGCUAAUUUAACAUACCACAUAUAUCAUUCCAAUUAUAGCAUGCAUGCUGUUAAUCAUUCAUGCUAAAAGUAUCCAUCAUUCUCAUUCUUCUACAAAUGGCCAGUCAUCCCCUUCAAGAGUGGAAUCACAACUCCCCCAUUUAAUGGAAUGACAAUUCCAAAAGAAAUAUUACUCCAUUAUUUGUGGUGCCAACUAGAUUGGAGCCAAAUCCAGAUUACCAUUCCACUCCAGCCUUCAUUCCAUAAACCAAACAUGGCAUUAGUUUUAGUUGUAUUAAGUCUUAUAGGAGUUAGGCAUUAGGUGUACAAAUCAGAUUACUGUCUCUCUAUAAUUCGGUGCUCUACUUCAGGUAUGUUAACUUACCACUAGAACCCAAAAGUUUAGGUUUUUAGGUAAGAGCUCAACAAUGUAUAUCAUGCCUUAACACCCUCCCUCAUGUGCAGCAUGGACGAAGCAUGUGAAGGCAUGAACAAGUCAAGAAUGACUCAACACUCAAAGAAUAAUCAAGAAUGAAACAAGAUAAGAAAAGGCUCAAGAAAAUAGAAGGGCAAAAUUAGCUUUAAUGACAUUCAAACAUAUCACUUUGGGCUCUGAUACCAUGUUAAAUUACCACUAGACCUCAAAAAGCUUAACAUGUUAAAGAAGCGGUCAACAAUGUAUAUUGAGCCAGGCCUUAACAAGGAAAUCUUCUUUCUUCUACUAACCCACAUCAAUAUCAGUAUAAUGUAGUCCUCCUUUAGGAAAACUAGGUAUAGAAUAAGAUCCAUAUCCAGGGAAGGACAUGGAUAUGGCAUUGGUUUCAAUAAAUUUAUAAGGUGUAGCAUAGCUGAGGAUUCUAAGGGUCAUAGGUAGCACACAUUGUUCCUAUCCAAUAGAUCGUGACUUGGAUUUGAAACAUAUUUUUGAAAAAAAAUGGAUAACAUUUGAAAAUUCAGAAAUAAGAAGCCGGUAGAACCACAGGAGGGUAAGUAUGCCCCAAAAUAGGUGUCUGUAGUAGAAGAUAGAAUUGCUGAUGCCCCAAAAGCCUCAGAUAUUAUCAUCCUAAUCUACAUUUGGCCUCUAGUCUUCAGUCUGCAUGAGGCUCCAACUGAAGAAGCGAGGCUUGCAGCAAGUUCUUCACAUAGAUCAUGGCAUCUCACCAAUAAAAGAAAUAAGAAAGAAAAAUUCAUUUAAUUUUUUCAUUACUUGUAUGAAUAUGAAAGGUAUAUGAGGCAUUUAUAGGUGUUUAAGAGACCCUAAGCCCUUGGAAUUUGUGUAACCUUUAGACCUCAUAUAGGAUUUAAAUUAUACAAAAGGAGGCUAACAAUCCAAGUGUGUGCUCUUAAGCCACAUUCGAAGAAUGACAAUCCUGUUAUAUACUGCCCAUAUUGUGGCAUGUACCAUGUCCUACCAUGCAGUAUUAGCAAAUCAUGAGUAUACAAGGGCGUAUGACAAUACAUAUCAUAAAAAUACAUGACCCUUAACACCCCAAUACUACUGUAUUUCAAACUUUGCUCUCAGUCUCAGGCAAUGGUAAACCCAAAGGACAAACAUGUAUUGAGUAUAUGAUGAAUCAAACACACGGAAGUUAGGCAUCUCUUCCAACUUUAACUCCAGUUGGACUUUUGACUCUUGGAUUCACCCAUGGCUUCGAUCUAUCAUCAAUAUGUCCAACAUCAGGUUUGAAGGCAUCAGUUCAUUCAUAUGCUAAUCAAAGAGCCAGAUAAACUUCAAGUCUUCAAUGAUGGUUGCACAUCCAACUUAUGUCACAAUGUACAUUCUUCCUUUUUUCCUAAAUUAACAUAAAUUUCCUUUAGUUAUCAUCUUCCUCCUGUGAAAUCACAUAAACCCUGUUCUCUCAUCUCAAAUCUACAAUUAUUAUUACCUUCAUAAAAAUUAGACCCCAAGAUCUGUUUUACACAAAGUGGUACUAACACGAUAGUUUCUGCAAAUUGCCAAUUACAGCACAACUAGGAUAAAUAGUAGAAUAGAGGCAUUGUAUAUAAGAGACAAACCCAAAACAUCCAAUGGAAGAAGAAGAGAGGCACUAUAUGUAUGAGACAAACCCAAGCCCUGGAAUAAAGGAACAAUGAGAUCAAGUUGAAAAAUGAAAGAAGGUCCUAAUUCUACAAAUUAUAUCUCUGAUGACCUGAAAGUAAAGAUAUCUCAACAUCCAUAGGAUGAUAGGAGUAUUCAAUAAAGAUCAAGAAUUUAGAGGUCCACAAGAUGAUUAUCUUGGAAUCUAGAAAAGCAAACAUAGAGCUCAUGAUGAUGAAUUAGAAAGAUUAAAUAAUCUAAGCAAGGUCCAUAAGGUCAGUACUAGGUAUACCAUGCCAAACUAGUAAGGAAUCAGUCCAUGGCAUGCUCCUUAAACCAAGGGGUACCAGAUAAGCAUGCCCUAUAUAUUGACACUUGGUGUGCUUGUAUCAUUUGGUUGUUGAUACAAAUACAAGUCUCAAUAGUCGAUACCUAAAACCAUGAACCAAAUUUUCAUCUUUAGAGGCAUGUUUCAGUACUUUAAGAGACAAACAUUUUUCCUAUAAUGAAGAUUUCAUUCUAGUAGUAUGAUAAUAUGUUCUUGGUGUUAUAUUUGACAAGCUAGUUUGCUACAACCAGAGCUUGAUCGACAGUAGUAAAUCAAUGGUCAUGAUUGAUUAUCACCAUGAGUUAGUAACCUAAUAUUGCACUAUUGACCUCAAAGUCUUUAAAAUCCAAUGGUGGAGAAUAACCAUAACUAUAAACAUAAACAUCUACCCUUUUCCCAGCCAUCUGGGUCUGGCUUUAUGGAUCCUCAUAUGCCAAGUAUUCCUAUUUUGGACCAUAGCUAAUGUUAUGGCAUACUUAUAUCUUUCUUUACAAGCUCCAUCCAGGCUAGCUAAGGACGUCCUGAUGCAGUAUAUCAUUUGAUGCCACAUCCUGCUAUCACGCGUAAUCGAGGAGAAAAUCAUGGCCAAUGGUUUGUUAUAUGGUUAAGAUUUAAUGUCAAGUAGAGUCCAAGAUUAGUUCUCAAUAAAGGGUCUUUAGUUCACUUUGGUUGAUCUUUUUAUUCUUUUUUUUUUUGGCUGGCCUGGAAACUUAAAAUAAGAAAGUGUUCUUACUGUUCACAUUGUAUUGUAACAUGAACAGUGAUUGCUAGUGUCAGGAUUGAUUAGGAGGACUCUCUUUGGGAUCAAAUUAGAGAUCAUUGUUGUUAUAUGAACAAUGAUCUUUACCAUAUCAUAUUUGGUAUACACGUGGUGCUGGUAGGUAACAUGCAUGAUAUAGGAGACUACAACUCUAUUGCCAUGCGUGCGAGUUCUAUCAAUGGUAUUGGCUGGUCUUGAAUCCAUAUAUGUUGCAUCAAGAUCACUCUAGUACUUCUAGCUUGUAUACUGCUUCUCACUUUUGACAUGUACAAAUCAUCUUAUUUACCAUUUGCUUCUACUCAAGGUGGAUUGGGUCUCUUCCCCUUUGAUUUCUUUAACCAUUUCACAUUGAACAAGAAACUAUAUUUGCCUCCCAUAUUACACUUAAAUAUAACCUUCCCAUGAUCAAGGAUUCCGAUCCCAGCGGGACAUCCCAUGGGACACCAGGACAGAGUACUCUCCUAUAUGUCAGGGCAUGGCCGUCUCGCUAGCAUCCCAACAUCCCGAUCAAGAUGUCUUGGGAUAUUCUUUGUCCUAAGUGUCAGGACGGGAUAGGACGGCAGUGCAUCCCGUUCCAUAAGAAAAUGGGGACAGCUCCAUCCCACGAGAUUUAAAAUCUUUCCUAUGAUAGUUGCAAAGUGUAAACAACAUUUAAAUAUCAUUAAUGUGUAAAUUGAUCCAUCUUUAAAAAAUGAAUAGUUAUAUGAGCAUGUCAAUUGCAAAAUUGCAAAUCGUUUUACAUACUCUUUUGUCAAUUGGAGCAAACUGGGUUCAACCAAAAACAUAGGCCCCACCAAGGUAAAAUUUUGGGCUAAUGUUAACUAAAAUCAAGCCAUGCUCUUGCACUUGAAGAGAGGGGAUAGGAGAGGGAGAGAGAGCCUAGAAGUGUUUUAUAGGAGUGCAAGGAGGUAGGCAUUUUGGUUUUGAAAAUGGCAUUGGAGUUCUAUCGUCAAUGAGUUGUUGUCAAAUGGCAACAUAUCCUAUUGUGAAGUUGGGAACUAAUAAGUCAAGGAUAAGGUCAAUACAUAAAGGUGAAGGGGCAAGCACUGACACACAUGCAAUAACCAUAGUGAUGUUGCCUUUGUCAUUAAUAGGUCAUCAUGGUAAAGGAGAAUGAGUGCAACAUGGAGAGAGAGAGAGGGAGGGGAAGAGGAAUCCAGAUGAGACCAUGACAAUUGUCUCAGGAGAGUUUUUCAGGGAGAUAGUGGUACUAUUUCAAAUUCGUUCCAAGAUCUAGGUCCUAUGUUUUGAACUGGCCUUUUAUCUUUAUUAUUGAGGGGAUCAUUUUUAUGUUAAUUUCUAUUUGUCCAUAUAAAUCUUCUAGAAAAAAUAUGGCGGGCAUUUCUUUGGUUGCAUGAGAACUACAAAAAAAUAAGAUAGAUCACCAAACAUGUCUGUUGUGGUUCUAAUAAUAUGAAGGGCACUAAUAGUACCACAUCGGUUGUGAGUCAAGGGAGACUCGCGCUUAUCAAGAGAAGAUCAUCCUUCCCAUGUGAGGCAUCUUUUGAGGGGCAAAAUCGUGAGGCCCAUAGGCCAGAGCGGACAAUACCUCACGUGUCGGGCCAAACACCUAUCCACAACAAUUGUGCGCCAAGAAGAGGUCGAGGUCCAUCUCAGUUCUUUGGGGCUGAGGUCUGCCUCGACAACUGUGGGGCUCCUCGGACUGUACACAUCAGAGUCUCCCUUGAUUAAAGGCUCUGUUGUGGUUCUAAUAAUGUGGAGGGCACCAAUAGUCCUACAUCGAUUGUGAGUUAAGGGAGACCCGCGCUUAUAAGGAGGAGAUCAUCCUUCCCACGUGAGGCACUUUUUAAAGGGCAAAACCGUGAGGCCCACGGAUCAAAGCGGAUAAUACCUCACAUGUUAGGCCAAGCCCUAGUCCACAACAAUGCCAAAUAGCGUUACAGCCUUACAGGUUUUAUGGGAAGUCUCACUGUUGCCUAAGCUUGCCUAUAGAUUCAGUACAUAGAGUUAACAACUUGACAUCAAGUUAUAAGCUAGAUACAGAAUCUGCUCAAUCCUUCCAAUAUCUUUUUUAAUGAGCUCUAGCUGCUAUACUUUAUAGCUGACCCCUUAUUGGAGUAGAAAAGGUAGGGGUCAUGGUUGUCAUGAAUCUUAUAGGAGUAAUGCCCAGGUUCCAAUUUCCAAGUAAAAGAUGUUUUUCAAUUUGUUUUAUAUUAAGACUAUUCUUUGGUAAGUUCUAAUGGCAUUCUAUUUAUAUAAUAAUAAAUCUUAAAUCAUUUUUUAGUUUCCUUUUAUUUCUACAGACAAUAAGAGUAUUGGAUACUUAAAUCUCCUUCGAAAAUUUAAAAAGAAAAGAACCCUUUCUCUCAUUAGUUUCAAAAAAAGAUCCCACUGCAUGAACUUAUUGUUUUUAAAUGUCAUUGCAUGAUGUAAUUCUCACAUUUGACUUUUUUAAUCCAGUUCAACCUCUUGAACAUAGCCUCGCAAAAUGUCCUCUCUCUUCUCCCUUCUCUUUUCUCAUAUCUUAUCUCAUUCCAAUCAAUCUUCAUGUAAAUUAGAUCACCAAAUUUGAUCGACAUCGAAGAAAUAAGAUUCACUGGCAAUGUAUUCCAUACCAGCCAGUACACCCCAUAUCGAACUGAACCGGCAGAGAACCAAUCCAAUUUGGGCCGAAAUUUCAAAAAAUCAUCCGAACCGCACUGAAUCAGUCGGUUCAGUAUGGUUCACGUGCAAACCACCCGAGAUCGGACAGUAUGGCUUGAUUCGGCUAGAUUUACGCUCGAAUCGAGCCGUAUCGACCACGUGGGGGAGUGGGAGUCCUAUUGGUUAGGGGGGCUACGACCACCACUUAUUGGUGCCUUGGUUGCUUGGCUCUACCUUUCGGAAGAAAGGCAAAGAUGUAGAGAGCCAGAAGCUCUCAGACUUCGACGAUGGAUGCGAUCGAAGCCUAAAAAAAAGAAAAAAAUUUCAAAAUUUUUUUACAACUUCGAGGAGACGACAUAUUUCAAUCGAAAGUAAGAUAAUUCAUCAUUCUAUCACUAUAUAUUUUUUAUUUUUCAUCUUUUUUGGCUAAAAAACAUAAGAUGUAGAAAAAUAAGAGAAAAUCAUGUCAAAAUUUAUGAUUUUGGCAUGAUUUCAUUAUAUAUUGUAGAUCAUUAGAUGAUCUACACGAUUACACUAAAAUCAUUAAUUUUUGUAAAUAUAUUUUUUUCAAAUAUAUAUUUUUGCAAUAAAAAUUAUUUCAAAAAAUUAAUUUCAAAAAAAAUUAUAAAAUCAAAAUAUUGUUUAGGACGAUUCAAGCUAUUUUCAGUAUAAAUUUUAUGUUUGAUUGUGAAGAUUUGGAUACAUGAUAUGCAUAGUAGCCUAGGAUUGAUUUUAAAUAAAAUAAAAAAAUAAAUAGCAUCUAAUGCAUAUUAAUGGACUUAGAAAAAUAUAUGUAGCAUCAAUGAUAUGUUUCUACUUGAAUCUAACCUCAAAUAUUUUUUUAAUUUUUAAAAUUUAAAAAUAAUUUUAAAUUAUUUAAAUAAUAAAAAAUAUAUAAGUAUGUAAUCAAUUAAAAAAAUAUGUAAAAUUGAUAAUAUAUUUUAGCUAAUUCAAAAGUAUUAUUUGAAGCACAUAACAUUUUUUUUAAAUUUAUGAGAUUUAAAAUUAUUAUUAAAAAUUUAAAAUUUAUAUAUAAAUAAAAAUUAUAAGAAAUUAGAAAUAUGAAACAUAUUAAUCAGAUGUAUUUUUUGAAGUUAAAAAAAAAAUUAUGAUAAAAAAAUAUAAUAUUUUUGAUAAUUAUUAAACUAUCGUGUUUUGUUAAACUUGCAGAAAUGAGUAAAAGAAGGAGCCAGAGCGUGACAUUGGCUAGAAGCAUGGUGAGAUGCUCUCGGCUCGGUACUAUUAGAGAUGCAAAUGGUACAGCAUAAAAUUCAAAGGAGGAGGAGUGACUAGGUUGAAGCAGUAUUUGAAUGGUGGUUAUCCUGAUGUGGCUAUAUAUCGAAAAUGUCUAUAAAAGAUCUGACAGCUUAUGAAAAAAUAUUCGCUGAUUCUAAAGCAGUGAAAGAGAGGACAAAAUAGAAAAGGACAGAGGUGGAUCGUCGAGACGGAGAGCCACCUUCUUAUCAUUCUAAAGAGUCAGAGGCCUCCACUCCAGAUGAUGAGAAGACAGAUUAAGACUGCCAUUCAAACGAGUCUGGAUGAUCAGUAUCAAUUAGAGAAGAUGGUCAGGUAUAGAGAGUGAUUUGGACUAUCAUUCUAUGAAUCGAGAUUUGACUCUACGACUGCUAGGGGAGAGUCCGAAUUCAAGAAAACCAUCUUUGUCAGGAAGCCAGUCAGUAAAGAUAGGCAUAGUAUUUCAUCGAUAUUGAAAACUUUUGACACUAAGAGGAGGUCCUCUAAAGACAUUCCAAUAAAAGCCACCAUCCAUGAUUUGAAUCCACAGACUUUUUUCAGUAAGAAUUCAAAGCAGCAGAGAGUUGACACUAUAUUGAAGAAGGAUAAGAAGAAGGAUAUAUGACGAGCUAUUGAAUCAUGAUUUCAUUUCAACCAUACUCCAAUGAAUGCAGCGGACAGUACUUACUAUCGGUCUGCCAUUUCAGCCAUAUAGGUUGUCGGCCCCGAUGUAGAUCCUCCAGCACCUAAAGAUAUCUAUGGUUAGCUUUUUGACAACAAUAAGAAAGAUUUGAAAAGAUGAAUUUCUUCUUAUAAGAAUAAAUGGCCCAUAUACGGACUGACGGUGAUGUGUGAUGGUUGGAUCGAUCUUGCUAGACAGAGUAUCAACAAUUUUUUGACAUAUUGUAAUGAAAAAAUAUUUUUUCAUAAGUCAGUUGAUGCUUCCGAUAGGAUGCACGAUGCCGCAUACAUCCUUGGAUAGAUGGAGAUAAUUAAUUCAGUAGGAGAGCAGAAUAUCGUGUAGGUCAUCACAAAUAAUAAGCCGCAAAAUAAGACCACUGGCAAGUUGCUGAUGGAGAAGCGACCAUAUAUUUACUACAUACCAUAUGCUGCACAUUGCACUGACUUCAUGCAGGAGCGGACCACACCAACUUUUGCAGAGGGCCAAGAGAAUAUAAAAAUAAAUAAUAUUAAUAAAUAAUUAAAAUUAAUUUAAAUAAUUUUUUUCAUAAACAUUAUGUGAAUUGAACUCGAUGUUCUUUUAUAGAACUAAAUUCAUCAAUAAUAAAAUCUACUGUAAAAUUUUCAGUUGUCUCCUUCUCGAUGUAAGUGACUAAAUAAUCGGAAAGAAAAUCUAAUUUCAAGCUUCAAUAAUUUUUAAAUAUUUUAUGUAUAAAAUUUAAUUUUUAAAUACAUAAAUAUGUAUAUAAAAAUAAAUUCGGAGAUAAGAGAAAACUUACCGUUGAUCCGAUCUAAAAUUCUAUGACCUUCACAGUCUAAUCCCUAGAUCCGAUGUUUGUCCGAAGAUAAAGGCUCUAGAACAAAUGGAUAAUAAAUUUUAUUAAUUCUUAAUUUAGGAUAAAUUAAGAUGAAUUAGAAAAAUUUCAAUCUGGCUCGAGUUUAGGUUUAGAUUUGGGUUAGAUCCACAUUAUCAUGAUUGAUCUAGACUCAAUCAGGUUAGGUCUAGUCAAUGGGUUGACUCAAAAUAAAAGGAUUGAGUCAGUUCACCCAUAAUUAAUCUCUCUCUAACUCUCUCUCUCUCUCUUAUCCUCUUCCCUGAUCGAACCCAUGGUCGGUUGGGGUUCCUAAGGAGGCAACCAAAGGUGGGGUUCCAGUGGUAAGGUAGCUAAGCGACUGAUGACGAUGGCGGCACGGCGACGGCUAGAUACGACGGUCCGAACGACGAUGACAGGGGUCCCAAAAAUAAAAGAAGAAAGAAAAGGAAAAGGAAUAUCUCACCGAAAAAGAAGAGGAAGAAGGCAAGCUCAUCGGAGACAAUGGCGGUAGUGAUGACAGCAGCUGUUGGUGCAAAUUUCGGUGGUAUCUCCCACGAAGACUUCCGAAAUAAGGGUUGACAGGUUUAGAAAAGAGGGAUAGGGUUUUUAGAGAAAUGGAGAGCUUCGACGAGACCGUCCGACGGUCGUCGGAGACGGUCACUCCUCAGAUAAGGCUAGAUCUUGUUCUUUUCAAGAUUUUAAAUCCCAUGGAACAGGAUUGUCCCGAUUUUCUCAUGAAAUGUGAUGCAUCGCCGUCCCACCCCGUCCCGACAGUUGGGACAAAGGAUGUCCCAAAACAUCUCGAUCGGGAUAUUGGGAUGCCAGCGGAACGGCCUGUCCCAACAUAUGAGAUGGUACCCCAUCCCGGUGUCCCACGAGACGUUCUGGGGCAUUCCGUUGGGAUUUGAAUCCCUGAUCCUUCCCCACCGGUGCACGUCUCCUAUCGAAACCCUCAAGAUCCUUAUCCUUUCCUCAAUUUUCUAUGGCCAUGGAUAAACAGGGGAUUCAGUGCCCUUUUUUUUUGGUACAAGAGAUACGGUACUGUUUGAAUCAAAUACGACCUCUUCCCUGAUCCCUCACCCUGCGUCUCUCUUCUCUUCUUUUUUUUUCAUUCGGUUCCGGUGAAGUCGGCAAGGAGAUCAAUCCUCAAAAUUUGUUUCCUUUUAAAAGAUUCUCCAAGCUUAAAUACAGCUAAUACUAGUCAAAUUUGGGGGGGAACACCUAUAUAUGCAAAAUUUUGCCUAAAAAAACUAACCUACGUAUAAAAGGUGUGGAAAAGUUGAGGGGGGCCAAGGUCCCCUGCCCCCCCCAACAGUCCGCCUCUGACUUCAUGUUGAUGGAUAUUGGAAAGCUUCGUAGAGUGCAGCAGGCAGUGGACUCAGCCCAGUCUAUUACUAGAUUUAUUUACAAUCAUACAUGGAUCCUGUCAUUGAUGCAGAAAUAUACUAGGAGAGAGAUCUUGAGACCGGAUGUCACACAGUUUGCAACAAACUACGUAGCACUUGAUAGCCUUCUGCAGAAGAAAAUAGCUUUACGUCAGAUGUUUGUCAGUGCCGAGUGACAAGAAAGCAUAUAUGCCAGGGCCGACACUGAUGGAAGUCACGUGGAGAACUUGAUGACCAAUCAAUAAUUCUAGCAAUGGGAUGAUAAGAUAGUGAAGAUCAUCAAGCCAUUAUAUGAGGUACUUCGCAUCGUGGACAGUGAAAGAUAUCCCCAGAUAAGCUUCUUGUAUCACAUGAUGGAGAGGAUAAAGAAACAGAUCUGUGAAAUAGAUCCGAAAUAUGUCCAAAAAUACAUCGACAUCAUUGAGCGCCGUUGGGGCUAUCAGAUGGAUAGAGAUUUGCAUCUAGCCGGUAAGCAUGAAUUCAAAAAUCAUCUGAAAAUUUUUUUUUCUUUUACUUGUAUAAGUCUACUUCAUCAUUUAUGAAAUUUAUUUUUAGCUUACUAUUUGAAUCCGAAGUUCCAGUACACCAUACCUAGGAUAGAUAUGAACAAUAAACUUUUCACUGCUCUCCAUAAUGUAAUAUAUAAGAUGGUGUCCAAUUCAGAAAUCGCAUCUAUGUGUCUGCAAGAGAUAUGUUAGGUCAAUUAAGAUGUGAGCAUUUAACUUAAUUCGAUCUGCAAUCAAUAAUAUAUUUAUUAAAUUAAUAAAUAUAUUUUUCACAGAUGAAACAGUUUAGAGAAAAGAUAAAUAGCUUUGGAGUCUCAUCGACUGCCUAAGCAAAAAAAAUAAAUUCAAAUAAAUUACAUAUCAAUACUGAGGACUUUAUUGAUAUUACAUGCCUGCUAAUUUUAAGAAAUCUAAUAUGUAAUUUUGUUUAACAUUCUUGCAGCUAAAUGGUGGAUUUAUUUUGGACAGUCUGCACAAAAUUUGAAAAGUGUGACCAUUCACAUUCUCUUCCAGACGGUCUCCUCCAGUGAGUUUGAGCGCAAUUGAUUGACUUUCACCCUUAUCCAUACCAAAUAGAGAAACCGUCACUACAAGAAAAUAGUGAUUUUGUGAUCGAUUUUGCGACAAAUUUUUCGGUUAAAAUUUAUGAUUCAUUUUGCGAUCAAAAUUUUUUGCGAUCGAUUAUUAAAAAAAAUUAAUAUAUCAACCAAAAAAUAUCGGUAGCAAAAUCGAUUGCAAAAUUAAAAUUUUACGACCAAUUUUGUGAUUGAUUAUAAAAAAAUUAAUAUAGCAAUCGAAAAAAUCGAUUGCAAAAUCUGUUGCAAAAUUAAAAUUUCACAACCAAUUUUGCAAUCGAAAAGCUAAAUAUAAAAAUAAAUUUACAAAAUAUUUUUUUAUAGAUUUGCAACCGCAAAUUCGAUCGCAACAAUUUUCAAUUAUUUAACUUGAUUUUUAAAUAAUUUAGUGAUCAAUUUUUUGGUUGCAAAAUGGAUUUACCAUUUUGCAAUCGAAAAAUCCGUUGCAAGGCUUUCAUUGUUUUAUUUUUAUUAAAAAUUUUGCGAUCGAAAAAUCAGACGCAAAAUUCUUGACUUGUUUUUUAAUCUAUAGAUAAGUUUGUGAUCGAUUUUUCAGUCACAAAAUUUUUUUAAUAUUUUACAACCAAAAAAUUGAUGAUAAAAAUAUUUCAAUUAUUUUUUAAUUUAAAUAUAUUUACGAUCAAUUUUUUAAUUAUAAAAUAUUAAAAAAAUUUACGAUCGAAAAAUUGGUUGCAAAAUACUUGAAUUAUAUUUUUAAUCUACAAAUAAGUUUACGAUCGAUUUUUUGAUCAUAAAUUUUUUUAAUAUUUUGCAAUAAAAAAUUGAUCAUAAAAUAUUUUAAUUAUUUUUUUAAUUUAAAUAUAUUUUUUGAUUGAUUUUUUAGUUACAAAAUAUUAAAAAAAUUUAUGAUCAAAAAAGCGAUCGCAAAAUACUUGAAUUAUUUUUUUAAUUUAUAAAUAAUUUUAUGAUCGAUUUUUUGAUCGCAAAAUUAAUAUUUUACGAUCGAAAAAUCGAUCGAAAACUUAUUUAUAAAUUAAAAAAUAAUUCAAAAAUUUUACGAUCGAUUUUUGGAUCGCAAAAUUUUUUAAUAUUUUACAAUCGAAAAAUCGAUUGCAAAUAUAUUUUGCAAUCGAAAAAUCGAUUGCAAAUAUAUUUUGCAAUUGAAUAUAAUUUUUUUUCUAUUUUUCUCUGAAUAUGAUAUAAUUUUAAAAUUUAAAGUUCAUCUUCACCAUUCAUUAUCUAAAUAAUUCAUUAGAGUAUCGUUACAAAAGAUCGCCUCGAUCCAAUAGCCUUAGCUAUGUCGAUCAAUAAAAUUUAAUUUCGACAAUGAUGAAUGACCGCAUGAUGAUUUGAUAGAUAGAGACCAUCGAUGGAUCCGAAAAUUUACAACAAUGAUUUUGAUGAUAUUUGUAGCACACUAUCAAAAUUUUACUUCAAUCAGACAUUAUUAUCAUGGUCAACUUAGCACGGAAUGAUUUAGGCUAUUAAAUAAAAAAUGAAUGAUUAAAAGGUCAAAAGAUAGUCCGAUUAUAAGAUAAUUUUUAGAUAAAUAAUCUUUAGCUUACUACUUUGNNNNNNNNNNNNNNNNNNNNCUCUGAAUAUGAUAUAAUUUUAAAAUUUAAAGUCCAUCUUCACCAUUCAUUAUCUAAAUAAUUAUCAUUAGAGUAUCGUUACAAAAUAUCGCCUCGAUCCAAUAGCCUUAGCUAUGUCGAUCAAUAAAAUUUGAUUUCGACAACGAUGAAUGACCGCAUGAUGAUUUGAUAGAUAGAGACCAUCGAUGGAUCCGAAAAUUUACAACAAUGAUUUUGAUGAUAUUUGUAGCACACUAUCAAAAUUCCACUUCAAUCAGACAUUAUUAUCAUGGUCAACUUAGCAAGGAAUGAUUUAGGCUAUUAAAUAAAAAAUGAAUGAUUAAAAGGUCAAAAGAUGUCCGAUUAUAAGGUAAUUUUUUAGAUAAAUGAUCUUUGCUACUACUUUGAUCGUUUGUAUGAUGGUGAUCGUAAAAUUCAAACCGCACAUAUAUAAAUCAUUUGCGUUAAGCAGAUCUCAUAAAAGUACAAAUAUAAUUACCUAAGUACUUUAAGAAUGAAUAUCAAGAGACAGUUUAGGAUGAUUCAUAUACGUGCGGUUUGAAUUUUACGAUUACCAUCGUACAAAUAAUCGAAAUAGUAGCAAAGAUCAUUUAUCUAAAAAAUCAUCUUAUAAUCGGAUGCCGUUUGACCUUUUGAUCACUCAUUUUUCAUUUAACGAUCCAAAUCAUUCCGUGCUAAAUUGACCAUGAUAAUGAUAUCCGAUUGAAAUAAAAUUUUGAUAGCAUGCUAUAAAUAUCAUCGAGAUCAUCAUUAUAAAUUUUUGGAUCCAUCGAUGAUCUCUAUCUAUCAGAUUAUCAUGCGAUCAUUCGUGGCCAUCGAAAUUGAAUUUUAUUGAUCGAUAUAGCUAGGACUAUCGGAUUGAGACGAUCUUUUAUGACAAUACUCUAACAAUAAUUAUCUAGAUCACGAAUGAUGAAGAUGAAUUUUAAUUUUAAAAUUAUACCAUAUUCAGAGAAAAAUAUAAAAAAAUUAUAUUCGUUUACAAAAUAUAUUUACAAUCAAUUUUUUGGUUGCAAAAUAUUAAAAAAUUUACGAACAAAAAAUCGAUCAUAAAAUUCUUGAAUUAUUUUUUUAAUCUAUAAAUAAGUUUACGAUCGAUUUUUCAAUCGCAAGAUAUUAAUUUUGCAACUAAAAAAUCGAUUGCAAAACUAUUUAUAGAUUAAAAAAAUAAUUCAAGUAUUUUACGAUGGAUUUUUCGAUCGUAGAUUUUUUUAAUAUUUUACAACCAAAAAAUCAAUCACAAAUAUAUUUAAAUUAAAAAAUUAUUAAAAUAUUUUGCAAUAGAUUUUUUGGUUGUAAAAUUUAAAAAAAUUAUGAUCAAAAAAUCGAUCGUAACUUAUUUAUACNNNNNNNNNNNNNNNNNNNNNNNNNNNNNNNNNNNNNNNNNNNNNNNNNNNNNNNNNNNNNNNNNNNNNNNNNNNNNNNNNNNNNNNNNNNNNNNNNNNNNNNNNNNNNNNNNNNNNNNNNNNNNNNNNNNNNNNNNNNNNNNNNNNNNNNNNNNNNNNNNNNNNNNNNNNNNNNNNNNNNNNNNNNNNNNNNNNNNNNNNNNNNNNNNNNNNNNNNNNNNNNNNNNNNNNNNNNNNNNNNNNNNNNNNNNNNNNNNNNNNNNNNNNNNNNNNNNNNNNNNNNNNNNNNNNNNNNNNNNNNNNNNNNNNNNNNNNNNNNNNNNNNNNNNNNNNNNNNNNNNNNNNNNNNNNNNNNNNNNNNNNNNNNNNNNNNNNNNNNNNNNNNNNNNNNNNNNNNNNNNNNNNNNNNNNNNNNNNNNNNNNNNNNNNNNNNNNNNNNNNNNNNNNNNNNNNNNNNNNNNNNNNNNNNNNNNNNNNNNNNNNNNNNNNNNNNNNNNNNNNNNNNNNNNNNNNNNNNNNNNNNNNNNNNNNNNNNNNNNNNNNNNNNNNNNNNNNNNNNNNNNNNNNNNNNNNNNNNNNNNNNNNNNNNNNNNNNNNNNNNNNNNNNNNNNNNNNNNNNNNNNNNNNNNNNNNNNNNNNNNNNNNNNNNNNNNNNNNNNNNNNNNNNNNNNNNNNNNNNNNNNNNNNNNNNNNNNNNNNNNNNNNNNNNNNNNNNNNNNNNNNNNNNNNNNNNNNNNNNNNNNNNNNNNNNNNNNNNNNNNNNNNNNNNNNNNNNNNNNNNNNNNNNNNNNNNNNNNNNNNNNNNNNNNNNNNNNNNNNNNNNNNNNNNNNNNNNNNNNNNNNNNNNNNNNNNNNNNNNNNNNNNNNNNNNNNNNNNNNNNNNNNNNNNNNNNNNNNNNNNNNNNNNNNNNNNNNNNNNNNNNNNNNNNNNNNNNNNNNNNNNNNNNNNNNNNNNNNNNNNNNNNNNNNNNNNNNNNNNNNNNNNNNNNNNNNNNNNNNNNNNNNNNNNNNNNNNNNNNNNNNNNNNNNNNNNNNNNNNNNNNNNNNNNNNNNNNNNNNNNNNNNNNNNNNNNNNNNNNNNNNNNNNNNNNNNNNNNNNNNNNNNNNNNNNNNNNNNNNNNNNNNNNNNNNNNNNNNNNNNNNNNNNNNNNNNNNNNNNNNNNNNNNNNNNNNNNNNNNNNNNNNNNNNNNNNNNNNNNNNNNNNNNNNNNNNNNNNNNNCCUCCCCUCAUCGCCCCGCCUGCAAUGGCCCCCUCUCCCCUCGUCGGCCCGCCCGCAACGGGCUCCUUCCCCUCCCCAACACCCGAACCCCCUCUUCCCCUCCCCGGCCCACCCGCGAAGGCCCCCUCCCCUCCCUGGCGACCGCCCGCGACGGCCUCCCCUCGUCGACCCACCCGCGACGGCCUCCCCUUGUCGUGAGCCACAAGAAAUCGGUCGCUAGUCCACACCUCGCUCCAUGGACCGUGCUAGCCGAAUUUUAUUUAAAUAAUAAUAUAAAAACUAAAAUAUAUAAAAAAUUAAAAUAAUAAAAUUAAAAUAUAAAAUUAAAAUUUUACAAUCGAUUUUAAAAAUUAAAAUAUUAUAAAAAAUAAAUUACGAUUGAUUUUACGAUCGAUUUUUAAUUAAAAAUUUUAAAAAUAAUUAACGAUUGAUUUUAUAAAUAAAAAAUAUUUUAACAAAAUUAGCCAUCAAAUUUGCAAUCGAUAAAUUAAUUUCAAAAAAUAAAAAUAUUUUAUGAUCGAUUUUACGAUCGCUUUAUUAAUAAAAAAUUUAAAAAUAAUUAGCGACUGAUUUUGCGAUCAAUUUAUUAAUAAAAAAUAUUUUAAUAAAUUUAACAACCGAUUUUGUAAAUGAUUUUAUUAAUAAAAAAAUUCAAAAAUAAUUAGCAAUCAAUUUUAUUAGUAGUAAAAAAUAUUUUAACAAAAUAAGUGAUUGAUUUUGCGACUGAUAUAUUAAUUAAAAAAAUUAAAAAUAAUUAUCAAUCGAUUUUGUGAUCAAUUUUAUUAAUAAAAAAAUUUAAAAAUAAUUAGCGAUUGAUUUUGCGAUCGAUUUAUUAAUAAAAAAUAUUUUAAUAAAUUUAGCGAUCGAUUUUGUGAUCGAUUUUAGUGACCAAUUUUGCAACUGAUUUUAAAAAAUAAAAUAUUAUAAAAAUUAAUUUAUUUUUAUUUUUCGAUUGCUAUAUCAAUCACAAAGUUUUGCAAUCGAUUUAAAUCGGUCUUAAAAUUUUGCAAUCAGAAUCUUUGCCAUCGAUUAAAAUCGAUCGCAAAAUAAAUUAACAAUCAAUUUUUACUGUUUUGCAAUCGAUUUUUCGAUCGCAAGAUCCCUAUUUUCUUGUAGUGCGUCUAACACAAAAGUGCAUCAAUGAUCUUGUAUAUGUGCACUAUAAUUUGAGAUUGAGACUAAAAUGCAUACAGAAUGAAGUACAGUUGAAGUACAUAGAUCCGANNNNNNNNNNNNNNNNNNNNNNNNNNNNNNNNNNNNNNNNNNNNNNNNNNNNNNNNNNNNNNNNNNNNNNNNNNNNNNNNNNNNNNNNNNNNNNNNNNNNNNNNNNNNNNNNNNNNNNNNNNNNNNNNNNNNNNNNNNNNNNNNNNNNNNNNNNNNNNNNNNNNNNNNNNNNNNNNNNNNNNNNNNNNNNNNNNNNNNNNNNNNNNNNNNNNNNNNNNNNNNNNNNNNNNNNNNNNNNNNNNNNNNNNNNNNNNNNNNNNNNNNNNNNNNNNNNNNNNNNNNNNNNNNNNNNNNNNNNNNNNNNNNNNNNNNNNNNNNNNNNNNNNNNNNNNNNNNNNNNNNNNNNNNNNNNNNNNNNNNNNNNNNNNNNNNNNNNNNNNNNNNNNNNNNNNNNNNNNNNNNNNNNNNNNNNNNNNNNNNNNNNNNNNNNNNNNNNNNNNNNNNNNNNNNNNNNNNNNNNNNNNNNNNNNNNNNNNNNNNNNNNNNNNNNNNNNNNNNNNNNNNNNNNNNNNNNNNNNNNNNNNNNNNNNNNNNNNNNNNNNNNNNNNNNNNNNNNNNNNNNNNNNNNNNNNNNNNNNNNNNNNNNNNNNNNNNNNNNNNNNNNNNNNNNNNNNNNNNNNNNNNNNNNNNNNNNNNNNNNNNNNNNNNNNNNNNNNNNNNNNNNNNNNNNNNNNNNNNNNNNNNNNNNNNNNNNNNNNNNNNNNNNNNNNNNNNNNNNNNNNNNNNNNNNNNNNNNNNNNNNNNNNNNNNNNNNNNNNNNNNNNNNNNNNNNNNNNNNNNNNNNNNNNNNNNNNNNNNNNNNNNNNNNNNNNNNNNNNNNNNNNNNNNNNNNNNNNNNNNNNNNNNNNNNNNNNNNNNNNNNNNNNNNNNNNNNNNNNNNNNNNNNNNACAAGGAUAUCAUUUCAUAUAAGCGACGGUCUUCCAAAAGUCAUCCAGCACAUGAUGCAGCUGCAAAUGACAUUUCACGUGGAGUAGAAUCCAUGGAUGUAUCUGAAUCAUCCUUACAUUAUGGAUCCUAUCACCCGCAGGCAGCUUAUGAUCUAUAUGAAUAUGGUGUAUCCAAGAUAUCGUCUUCCAGUGGUUACCAUCCUAUGCAAUCCGGAGCAUCUUACAGAUCGAAUUUUACUGCUCGCAUAUUUGGAUGGACCUCUCCACAAUCAUAUCAUCAUCCCGAAGAUACCUUUCAGAGUCAGAAUUUGAGCGAGAGAUCUAAGAUGUCUUACAAUCCAGAGAGGAUACCUUAUAGGAUGAAUAUUCAGAAAUACGAUGCUACUUGGUUAGAGGGAUGGCCUGAUGUUUCUUCGGAGUAUGCGGAGGAUCCGAAUAUCUACAAGCGUCACAAACACUCAACGAGAGAUUAGAUCAGUAAAGAUCUUGAGGUUAGUAUAUUUUUUUUGUAAUUUAUAAGUUUAUACUUUAAAUAUAUUUAAUUCAUUAUUUUAGACUUCUUUUUUGAAUAAUAAAAUUAUUAUAUAAAAUAAAUAAAUAUUAUUUUGGAUAUAAAGUAAUUUAAAAAUUAAUAAAAAAAUUAUUUGAAAUCAAAAUCAACUGAAAAAAAUUUAAAAAAUAAAAUUUGUGGCGUAUCGAUAUCAAAUCAAUACGCCACACCAUACCGACGCUCGGUAUGGUACAAUACCCGAUACCAUACCAUACCGAUCAAGAACCGGUAUGGGUCUCAGUAUCGAUUCCUGAAAUCUUGUUCACUGGCUUGCCCAACAGUCCAAAUAGAAAAUCAUUUACUAUGUCAUACUAACAUAACAACACUUAAUAAUAAUAAAAUGCGACAAGCAAAACAAGAAAAGGCAUUUGUUGUUUUAUGAAAUCAUAAUUAUAUUAUAUUUUUUAUCAUCAUCAUCAUCUAGGCCUUUUUUCCAUCAAAAUGGAUAAUUAUAAUGUGCAGAAUUAUAAGUUGAGAAGGAUUUUUGGAUGGAUCGAGUAAAUUUUUAUAACAAGUUGCCAACCUGACAUCGACUCCAAGAAUCAGUGUUGAAUUCAUAGCAGGGGGAAAACUAUAGACAAGAGUAUAUAGCUAACAAAUUUUUUAAUAAUUCAACCAUCUUGAUUUUUAUCAUUUUGUUUUUCAAAUCUAUCUUUAUAAAAAUUGCCUAACUAAUCCUGCUUUCACAUGACUCCUAGACUCAUCUUAAUGCAACUUCUACUAGUUGUCCAAGCAAUAAGAACUACUGAUGGCCCGCUCAUGCCUAAGGGCCCAUUCAGGUUUGAGAAGUUCUAGAUCAUGGGAUCUGGUUAGAGAGGUAUAGAGGAUGUCGAUCCGUAGAGAUUGGCAGUACCAUAUGUCACAGAGAUUGAAACUUGCCAGACACACUCCUCCGAUGGAACAGGCUUGAGGUUGGUGACAUCUUCAAAUGGAUUGAGGGGGUAAAGGCGGACAUUGCACAGCUACAAAAGAGACAGGAUCAAGAGGGGGCCUUCAAGAGCCUGACUUGAGGGAGCUUCGCAACAAGCUCUCAGUGCACCAUUCUUUGCCGAGACAGCAAGAGACACUAUAGAGGCAAAAGUCAAAGGUGCAGUGGAUUAGGGAGGGUGAUAGAAACAUCAAAUUCUUUCAUCAGUCCACUAUAAUCCGAAGGUCGGCCAAUCGUAUCAGACAACUAAAGGAGCGAUGGUAGAGUAGCGGAUGUAGUAAGGAGAUCAGGGGGUACAUCUUUCAGUUCUUCAGAUCACGACGGACAAUGCCUUUGGAUGAGGAUACCCCCUUUCAGGAAGCCCAAUCUGUGACCUGUCUCUGAUCAGGAGAAUGAGGUCCUGACUUGCUCGAUGUCUGCUGAAGAGGUGCGGGGGGGGGGCCUCUAGUCUCUUAGGGAAGAUAAGGCCCUAAGAUAGGAUGGGUCCCCCCUCUUCUUCUGUCGGUAUUGUCCUAUUGUCCGAGAGGAGGUGGUGGAGGUUAUGAAGAUGGUCUUCAAUUCCAGAGGUAUCGUGAAAGAAGACUCUGAUCGCUCUCACAUCCCAAUGCAUCUACUCUAAGGCACUUCAGACCGAUCAGCUUUUACACCACUCUACAAAGUGUGCUGGAAUUUUGGUCGGGCAACUAAAGCUAAUUGUCCCUCAUCUGAUCAGUUCGGAGCAGGAUGCUUUUGUCAGCAACCAAUGCAUCGCUGACAAUGUCUUGCUCGCUCAGGAGUUUAUGCAUGAUUUGCAGCGAGCCCCCGCCCACUGAAGUCUUAUGACGAUCAAACUGGACAUAAAGCAAGCAUAUGACUAGAUGAGCUGGCAGUUCUUGCAUCGGAUGCUUCAGGAGCUCGAUUUUCAAGAUAGGUGAAUCGGUUGGAUCAUGAACUGUGUGGAGCAUCCGAAUUUUGCCAUUCUGAUCAAUCGUGCCCUGACAGAGUUCUUUCACUCGAUGGUUAGGCUACGCCAAGGUUGUCCUUUUUUUUCUUACCGGUUUAUCUUAUGUGCUAAUGCUCUCUCCUGGGCAUUGAGGGUGCGAUUUAGGGAUAGGAGCUGGAGCUCGACUGGCCUGCCCCCGGGGUCCAACCUCUCUCGCACCUCCUUUUUGCAGAUGACUGCCUUCUGAUUAGUCGGACCUCGGUUCGAAAUGCCAGGGGCUUUGCAUCUAUCAUCGAGGCAUCUAUCAUCGAGGCCUACUAUCAGGCUUCGGGCUAGCUGGUGAACCUAUAAAAGUCUACGAUGAUCUUCAGUCCCAAGAUGAAGAUCUAGAUGAAGAGGCAAUUUAGAACUGGCUGGGCAUCUAGAAGCAGAUCGAGGUCCUGAUCUAUAUAGGGGUUCCUAUCACUAGUCGGCAUCUUCAGAGGACUGAUUGUAAGCCUAUGGAGCAGCGGGUCCCGGAUCGCCUCGAGGGCUAGCAAGCCAACACUCUUUCUAUGAUGGGUAAGACGAUGCUUGUGAGAUCGAUCUUGAGUUCCAUACUAGUCUACCUCUUGGCAAAUACGAUUAUGCCAAGCUCUUGCCUCAAAUCGUUGGAGAAGCUAUUUCGGAAUUUCUUUUGGGGCUCAAGGCACGAUAGUUGUAGGCUCCACUAGCUGCUCUGGGAUAUGGUUUACCAAUCUGUGAAGGAUGGAGGACUUAGGAUUCGGUCUUUUUUCGUCAGGAGGGAGGCUUCGAUCACCAGGCAUGCCACCAGAUUCCUCAUCCAGCUAGAUUGUUUGAGCAAGGUGAUGAGGGCUCGAUAUGGGACAUAAAGUCAAGGGUCCGAGGUUCAAACUAUUCAGAGUUGCUCUUUCAUCUGGAAGAAGAUUUGUGCCCGUGCCCCUGUAGCUUUGGCCCAGGCCAGAUGGUUGAUUGGAGAUGGGAGGUCAGUAGAUGUGAGUCAAGAUGCUUGGAUAGGCUGAAUUUCUAGCUUGCCUCUCACCCGAUGGCUGACCUACGUUAACACAAAGGUGAAUGACCAGCUUCAAGUUUGUGACCUGCUCACUAUCGAUAGUAGGGGUUAGAGAGCACAGAACAUCACCCAUCUUUUCGGUGGCCCACUUGUGGAUCGAAUUCUCACCAUUCCAACUUCUAUCCAUCAUAGCUAGGACUUGAGAGUGUGUGGCCAUUCUUGCUGCCCGAAAGCUCCCAUGAGAGAUCUAUCCAAGAUAUGCAGGCCGACAGCGACUUCCAGGAUCAAGGCAGCUUGGAUCUAGAGAGUGGUUGCUCAUUUCAAGGUGAGGCUAUUUCUUUGGAAGGUUGUCUAAGAUCGACUUCCGAUGUGUAUUUUGCUCAGGGAUAGGGGUAUGGAGCUUGCAAUUUCCUGUCCAAUCUGUAGGUUGAAAGAUGAGUCGACAGAGCAUGCCCUCCAGCGAUGUUCGAGAGCGAGGCUGAUUUAGAGGAGGGUGGGUGGCUAGCCGUAGGAGGCAAGUAGUGGUCCUUGAUUGGACCUCUUCCUGGAUGUGAUCUAUUAAAGUACUGCUAAGGGGUUGAUCGGUGCCUAGGGAGAAAGAUGGCAUAUAACGUCUAUCAAAUCUAACUCUUUAGGAAUAAUUUGGUCUUCGAAGCUGAGUGGUACCCACUCAUCGGGUGCUGAAGAGAGCCUUCUGCUUGGCCAUAGAGUAUAGCCGCUUCGACGCUGCCGACCUGCUCCUUGAUGCCUCUGAUUCCUGGGGCUCCCAUGCUUCUCCUGCAGUGACCCGAAGGAUUAUCUUCAUUUUCUGGGGCCCCAUCCGGGAUUUGUCAAGAUAAAUUUCGACGAUAGCAUUAGAGAUGGUAGGGAUGGUGCUGACUUUGUCAUCUAGGGAUCGAAUGCUAGAUUGCUAGCGGCAGGAGGCUCACAUCUCUUUAAGCCUUCCAUCCUCGGAGAUAAGCUUUGUGCCACUUGGGCUGACAUUAUUUAUGCCGUACAGAAGCUACAAGUAGAUAGGAUCAUCAUUAAGGGAGACUCUGCCACCGUGAUAGGCUGGAUUCAAGACGACAUGAUGCAGUUGGAGGCCCACCAACUCCUUUAUGACAUCCUGACCUGCCUUCGUGAUUUUACUGCGGUGUCUCAACAUAUCUUUCAGAAGACAAACAGUGCCGCUGAUCGAGUCACCUCCUAUGUAGCUGAUCACAAUGGUGACUAGACCUGACAUCAGGAUCAGACUUGCCUACGAGCCUUGCAGGACAUUUUGUUUUUUAAUCUUUUGAGGUGUACUCAUGCUAGAUUGGUGUGAGCACCCACUUGUACCAAAAAAAAAAUAGAAAGAGGGUCAACUUGCUCCACAAGCCUGGGUUCUAACUAUAACUAAGAAAUGGCAGUCAAAGCACUACCAUAUACAUGCUCCUACAUACAGAAAAAAAGAGGCAUAGAAUGGUGUUAUAGGGUACUAGGAUUUGAGCAUUUGACUUCAGAGAGAGAGUAUGGCUGGGGACUAGCAGGAGAGAUGAACUAAAUAUUAAAGGCAGUGGGAAUAGUCAUAGAGGCAGCCCACACAUAUUUAUAAAAUGUCCAGUGAUUUAACGAUCACUAAUAUUGUGGGAAAAUGAGGGCAUUAAGGAGAGGGAGAGGCAAGCUAAGGCAAAGAGGGAGGAAGCAACUACAGGAGGGGGGCUAGGGGUAGUUGUGAUCUUUUGGGAUAUUAUUAAGCUACAAGCCCGUUUGAAGCUCAAGCUAGGAUAUAGGGUUAUGCCAAAUUGCAUGUGGGCAUAUUCAAAUACUGAUACAUGUCUCAUACAACAAAGAACAUGUUUGAUACUUAUUCUAGGUCACUUAUAAUAGGAUCUAGAUACUUAUAUGAUAUGUCAUGUACUUUUGGAGACAACUAGCAAUUUACCAAAUUGAAUCUGUUAGCUUUUAAACUUGAAUUCACAUUUGUCAGGCUUUUUCUCUUUUAUCCUUUAUCUCUUGGAUACAUGUCCUAGCAAAUAUAUACAUAUAUAUGGAGAGAGGUAGAGCUGAUAUGUGGGUGCCCACACAACAAUCCAAAUAAGGUCGGUCCUGACCAGACAACCAAGGGCCCGGUAUCGAUGAUCCGAGCCAUUGGAUAUGAUCUACCAUUUGCAAGCUGCUUAGUGUCAAAAAAAAAUCAUGCAAUUUGGAGAGCCAUGGCUUUUGCAUCCAGUGGUCAAAAAAUAUGAAUUGUACAUGUUAUUCAUGUUAUUAGAACUAUCCAUUUUUGACUACUGGAUGCAUUCAUAUACCUGGCUCCAAAACUUUGCUUGCAGCCCAACCCAUCCUUAUGACCUACCAUCAAGAUACGGCCCACUAAAAAUGCUAAUUAUAAUUCUUAGGCAGUAUAUUUGGUGAGAUAAAAAUAAGAAAUUCAGUUUCCAUAAUUAGGAAUUUCAAGAAAUCAAACCAAAUAAAAACUUCGAUAUGAAAGCUUACAGUCAGAGAUGACAAUCACCAAUAGCACCAAGUACACAAUGGAAUUGCAAUAGUACAUUGCUAUUUAGCAAUAGGAUAAAUUAUUUAGGACACAAGGCACAAUAGUGAGCAUCCAAGGAGGAUGUUGAGGCAUAGAAAUUGCCAAGAACAAACGUAAGCAUGAGAAGUUUUGUGUUCUUAAACAUUUAAGUAUUUCUUAUAUCCUGCGGAAAUUAUUAUGACUUGGAUGAUCAUUAAAACUGGUUAUUUAUUUCAGGUUUGCCAAUCUUCUGAAAAAUCUGACUGUAUAAAGUUAUUUAAUUGAAUAGGUAAGGUACCUAGACGAUGAUUGCUUCUGAGGAUAGACAGCUAUAGCAUAUCUUGGAAUUCAAAGCGAACAUAUGUUUAGCACCAAUUUGCACAACCACUAACCAGAUACAUAAUAUAAAGACCUUCACUGAUAACUAGCUGCAAGUAGACAAUUUUGUUAAAUAACUUUGUCAUCAGUCACUAAUAAAUGACAUCCGAGUCAGAGACAAGCAGCCAAUGCAAACCAUUUGUUUCAUAACAAACUGUUGGGGACAGAUAACCUCUAAAGAAUGAGAGUGUUAAACAAUGUUCAGAUAUAUUGAUCCCAAACCUGUAUGGGAUAUCUUCCUUACAAAGCGUAUUUUCUUAUCAGGUGAAGAAAACUUCCAUGAUAAAAUGCACUUUAAGCAAACAAGAGAGACUCUUCACACAGAAGAAUAAUUACCUCGCCAGUUUCAACAGUAACAACCUGUGCGAUGAAUCCAGUCCCUGAUGAUCCUGCAGGUGAUUAGCUUUCUGAGAAUAAAUUACGUUAAAAAAAAAAGGAUAGCAAGUUUUAUGCAUUUUCAGCACAACAAUAUGCAUCAUGCAGAACCCGUUUACAGUUAAAGUUCGCAAAACAAAGAAUACCAGAUGUGUAUAAUGAAACACAAAUAACAAGAGCAUUCAAAAUCCACAAAAGAUUGCUUAAGUUGAAAUGCAACAUGAAAAAAGGCAUCUAAAAUGAUAGAAACAUGACCACGAGAUUUCACAAAUUCAGAUGCAUAUGCUACAAUCCAAAAGAAAAUUGGCAUGUUGUUGAUGAAAAAUAUUGCAGGCAGAGCUUCUGCAAAGGUCCAAUCAUCCCAUUUACCAGGCAGAAGAAAAUUAUUUUUACAAUAACAACUUGCCAAACCAUGCAUCAUUAAAAGAAUAUUUCUAAUUUUCAAAUCACAAGUGCCAGGUCAUACUUUUAGUAUUGAAAGAACCAGAUUUGAAUUUCCCAGACUUCCAACAAAUAAAAAUGAGAACAAGGACAUAAAGGUAAUUGCCCCACAUCUCCAUUCUUAGCCAGAUCAGAUCUACCAAGCAAGUCAAAUCUCCAGAAAAUGAGACAGCCUUCCUUUACCCUAUUGACAGAGUGAACACCUACCUUCAGCACCCAGCAGGGCCCAACUUUCAGUCAGAUCUGAAAUAAGCAUGAUUUACAUAACCCAGAUCAUAACAACCCAAACGAAGAUGUCAUUUUAGUAGCUAUAUACAGGAAAUCAAUUCAAAUAUUUAUGGAAACAUAUAAAUGAUUCAUGGCAUUGCAAACCUGGUAGCAACAAAAUGAGAUAAUUGAGAUUACCUGGUGCCUCCAUCUGCUGCUUUCUUCUUGAACCUGGCACAGGAUGCUUUGCUUUAUUCAUGGCCUCCAUUGUGGGUGUUGCAGCCGCUGAAGAAGAGUGAGAGAACCCUCCUACAGCACUGGAUGGGCCAGGCGCUGUCAUGGAUUUUGGGAUUGCUUCAAGUGCCACAAUCACAUCAGGCCCAUGCUUCCUCAACCAUCCAUGUUCCCUAAUCACUGGCAUUCCCAUGCAUUGCAUGCUUCUGCUAACAAUAGGUUUACUGACAGUAACUCCCUCUAAAGAGGAUACUGAUUGCACAUCAUUUUUCAGAGGAUGUGCUUGGGCUGGAUUUCUCUGCACAAGAUCAUUGGAAGAUUUCCUACGACAUGUUUCUCUCUCAAAUCUCAUUUCCAUGUUCCCCAAGAUUAAAUGUUUCAAGUUACAGACUAUCACCUGAAAUUUUCCAAGGAAAACUACUUUCUGAUCCUUUUCAAAAGAAUAAUUUAAAAAAAAAAAACAGAGAAUUUUUUUUCUUUUUUUCCUUCAGCAACGCAAACAUAAAUCUGAACCUUUUCUACGGAAAUUGAGCAAGAAAUUGCCAGAAAUAAGCAAUUUUUCCAUCAAAAAUCUGCUGAAGCAAGAUCCAGAAAACUUUCAAGCAAGAGGAAUGUGAAACACUUGAAACUCUGGGCCCAAAGUUCCAAACUUAAUCCCAAAUGGUAAUAAAAGAAGGACAAAGGGCUUCAUGUAACAAUGAUAAGAAAUGGGCCAAAAUAAGUAUAAGCAAUGUAGCACCCUAUUCUUUUCAGAGGGAAAAAUAAUACUAAUAAAACCAUCCUAAUAUGAGACAAUAAAGGGAAAAACAAUGAAAAAUACCUAACUCUGAUCAGAAUGCAGCAAAAGAAAGUCAAAGAUUACGAACUCCAGCCACCGGAUCUUCCAAAAUUCUUCCCUUGCUUCCAAAUUUCAUCUUAGAAUCCACAAAUUCCUGCAAAAUUAGGGAGGGAAGACCUGCAAAACAUGUUAUUCCUGACAGGAGGAAGCACCCCUUUGAGAAGAAAUCCUGCCACUCAUCAGAAAUCCCAAAAAUCUUCAGACUUAACAAUGAGCAAAUAGUGAGAAUAGGAAGAAUGUUUUAGUUUCCUGGAAACCUCUAGGAGAGGGCUUCAUUAAAGAUAUUAUAAAGGAAAAGGAAGUAAAUAUGGCCAAAACUGCUUUCCUGUAAGAUAAUAUGAAAAAAUGGAAAAUCUUAAAUGAAUGCAUCCUCCUUAAUCUCAACAAGUGUAUACAUAGAUACACUCCCCUUGGUCUGAAAGUCCACUACCACUUUCCUGUAAUGUUAUAUAAAGUUAACAGGAAAAAAAUAAAUGGAUAUUUUUCCUCAGAUAUAAGUAUAUACAUUGAUACACUCCCCUUAGUCCAAAACAAUUCCAUGAUGGCAUACCUAGUCGCUCCUAUAAGAGAACCUCAUAUCAAUUUACAAAUCAAUAAAAUUGAGAAAACAAAACACACUUAUAGAAUUUUGAAAAAGAAAUACCAUCAUUUAAAGAUUGGAGAAGAUUUACCCCUUCUUCCCCAAAUGCCUCCCUCUCUCGGAUUUCUAGUGUUCUAGCUUAAAACAUCCCCUCCCCUAUCCUCCUCUUCUUAAUUUUCUCUCUUUACUUUCUCUUUUCUCACUUCAAUAUCUUUCCUCUACCUCUCUAAGGGGUUUCUUACAUUUACCUAAUGACUACGAGGCUUUCCCCUAAGAUUUUCCCCUUCUUCUUACUCCAAAAAGGGAAAAAAAACACAAAAAACAAAAACAAUUAAAUAAAAGAAACAUAAAAAUUUACAAAGAAGCUUGAAUCCUUGACAAAGCAGAAUAGCCUUUCUUUAUUCAUUUGAUGGAGUAAGCAAAAUAUCUAGGUACCAUUGUUAAGGUCCAUACUCGGCAUAGCACAAAAUACCAGUGGCAGUAGGUACCAAUACUCAUCUAGGUACCCAUUUGUACUGGCACAUAGCAUAUCACCUCAUUAAUUCUAUGACGACACUAAAAGAGGCAUACUAUGUAUUGACGCUAAAGGUAUCAGUGUCAAUACUUCAAUCUUGGAGUAACCUUUCUCCCCGAUAAACAUGCGCCCCCACCACCCAACAAAAAAAACAAAAAGCCCCAGUCAAGUCCCCAUCAUUCUCUUCAAACCUAAACAAGGAAUACCUAGAUAACUCAGAUCAUCAAAAUACAGAUAUAAUUUCCUUGAACAUGGUGUCGACCACAUUAAAAAAUCUGAAACAACUGGAGCAACAUACAAAAGUCUCCACUUGAUAGCAAUAAUUUGGAAGAAUUGAGAUUACCCAGAGCUUCCAUAUGCUGAUUCCUGCUCGAAUCCUGCAGCCAACCCCUUGCUUUUGCGGCUACUGCAAAUAGCAACAUGUAAAAACCUACCACUUAGCCAUAUGAAUAGCAAAAAUAAUGGAGAACUAAGAUUACCUGGUGCUUCCAUCGCUGCUUCUUGUUGUACCCCUGUUGCUGAUCCUAGAUUUGCUUAUGGCCUCAGCUGUGGCCAUUGAACGAAGGAGAGGACCCUCCAGUGGCACUAGAUGGGCCCACUGAAACUGCAGAGACAUUUUGAUCAGAAUAAGAGUCUUGGCAUAAUUGACACAGAAUUCAACAAGGUUACUAAGACUAAAUAUAACUGUUUUCCAUGAAUCCCCACCUGGCAGUCAUAAGGCAAAGUAGCAGCUGUUGCAAGGCAGGCAACUUCUUGAGCAGAUCCAUGCAACCUAAAGUUCUUCUUCUACUAUGUCCCUUAAAAAAAAAAACAUGGAAAAGGAAUAUGGAGAAGAAGAAAUCAUAACCAAAUUAUUGUACAGUGUAUAAAUUGGAACGAAAAAAAUGAAGAUCAGUAUAAGCACCUUAGCAGCCCCCUGAGCAGACUUCAUCAGACACUCUGCCUUUCUUUUUUUGGGUAAAGAUCAGACACUCUGCUUCAAUAUCAUAUUUUAAAACCUGAAAACACUCAAUAUGUUCCUCCAAGAAGAGUGCUUAAGUUUGAACCCAUGGAAAGCAAUUCCAAGCUACAGAGGGGGAAGUAAUAAUAACUAAAACUAAAUUUUAUCUCAUAAAGACAAUCAUAUGCAUGUACCAGACAGAAACUAACCGAGAGAACUUGAACUUGAAUCUAGAUAUCUGCACAACAUUUUCCUCAUGAGAACAAAUCAACAGCCUCUCUCUAAGUGUAUGAUCACCCUCUCCCAGUAUGUGGUGAAUAACUAUUAAUCCUUCAAUGCAACCUAUGGAAUUUCAUCAAUAUAUAAUUAUUCAUCUUGAAGAGAUAUAAACGUUCUCACCUUAUACAAACUUUGCAAAAUCUGAAUGACUACCAAUACUUCAUUCAAGUGAUUAUUAUAUCAAAAAUUAAUUUAAGAUCAACAUAGAUCAUAAUUCUUAUCAAUGAGUUUGGAAGUCACAAUAUGUAAUCAUCAUGUAGUAUGACAUUUUGCUGUGCAGUUUUCAAUGUAAUCAGUAUUAAAUUCUGAUAGAUGCAUACCAAUCAAAAUCAUAAUUUCAUAUUUUUAGGAUUCAAAGUCUUUUUUAAUUUCAAGACUUAAAAUUUUUAGGAUGUGCUCGGCUUUCAAAGGAGAUGGUCAAAUAAUGGAAAAUGUAUAGAUGUUUAGGAGGACAGCAUGAACCUAGAAAAUUCUGCUCAAAGUAAAAAUUUCUAAUUUCAUGGUUUAGGGCUUUUGUGAAAUUUAAUUCCACAUUUUAGCAUCUUGUAUUGUGAAAUCAUAACUUGUAACUUUAAAGAAAGUAAAAUCGCAGAGUCUCGUGAUCUUGUGGCACAUCCAACUGCAUCCUAGAUUUCCUGUUGUUUCCCAAGUUUUUUCCUUCAUUGUUCCCGGCAUUUCAUGAUAUGAUUCUUGUCAAUUUCUCCUAGAGAAGCUGGAUUCGAUCUAGUCCCUAGUCACAUUUCUAGGAAACAUUAGGAUGCACUGAACAUGCGUCUCCAAACGGAGCAGUUCUAUUCAUUCCAAGAUUUAUAUUAAACAAGCACCAAAACUCUUCCUGAAAGACUCAAAUCAACUAAUUCAAUACAAUGUCCAAAUAUUUAUAAAGCCUGCUUCUAUCAAUCACACAGCAUGAUUAGUUAAAAGGCAAUCUUCAAUAAUAAGAAAUUGCUGCAUGCUAAAAGCAUAGUUUGAAAUUGGAAGGAGAAAAAAAAAAAAAGAAGGUAUCUACCUUUGAUAAUUGUUUUAGUCCUGUAGACUACCUUAACACAAUGUUUGUACUCAACCUAUUUUGCAUAACUGAUAUCAGUAUUCUUCCCAACAAUCGAAGAAAUGACAGAGAAUUGAAAAUAUGAAGAAUUGCUCUUGUAUUUAACAAAAGAAGGACAAAAAAGCUAUAUUCUUGCCAAAAAGUUUUACAUAAAUAGAGCACGACAAGAUGGGUUGCACUUGAAUUAAACUUUGCAGUGCAAAACUUAGACACCAUUUCCUUCCACAUUUUGUCUUUAGAUGCUAAGCGCCAGAUUAUCAGGUUUCAGGAUAGUCACAUACACAAAGGACCUUUCUUUUCUCAACGAGUAACCUGUUUUAGAUAGACAUACAUACAUAUGUAUUUAUUAAUGUAGGAAUAUAAUACUAACGAUGUUUUGUAGAUAUAAAUUUCUUUUGGAAGAUACAGCGAUUGAAAUUAAAUUAAAAGGACUUUUUAAAUAAUACCGUCCAGCUGUGUCUCUCGGAUGGUCUUCUUAAGAGUGCACAGAUGCAAUAAGCUACGUAAACCGCGGGAGAAUCACUGGUGUAGCAGCGAAAUUCCAGUGCAAAAAGGGGAAAACGCAUAACAAAAAACCAGUGAAUAUAGACAUCAACCAAAAUACCCCAAAAUUCAUUUAAUCCGUCAAUCCAUACAGAACUAUAAUCCAUCAACCAAAUCUCACCAAAAAUUGAUCAAAAAUUGACCAAGUUCAAUAAAUUAAUCGAGUACACUGGCUUCUAACAUGCCAGAGCCACCAGAUGUCACCUUGACGAUCGCAUUGUCAAUAUCCUUCCAUCAAAUUAAUCAAGAAAACAAAGAAACCACAACAAUGACAGAUCAGACGCCCCAAAACUCGAUCGGACUCAAAGAAUCCAGAGUGGAAAAAUACCAAGAAAUCCUUGAAUUCGGCGUUGAACUUGGCAAGGCCGACCUUGAUGGAGUCCUUGAUGGCUCCGUAGGCCUUCCGCCCAGGUCUGGAGAGCCCCCAUCUCCCCCCGCCCGCCGAACCCCAAUCCUAAACCUAGCCCAACCAUCCUGCCCUCUUGGAGGCCACCCGACAGGAGGAGGACGACGACGACGAGAAAGAACACCAGAGAGCGCCAACCGAUGUCUCCAGCAAACGUAGCCAGGAGUUCUACAUUAUAACCAGCUCCUCCAGUCGGCCGGGCACGGCGCCAUUUGAAUCGCUUUGCCGUCCAUUUUUAAAUGGAAUCGAUUUUUUAAAAUCAAAAUAUUUGAAUCGAUCGGUUCAAAUUAAACCGAAAAAAUUAAUUUAAUUUGCGUGACUGAUUGAGCUUUUCUCAAAUGGGGACUAAAUGAACGGAAAUAGGCUAAAUAUAAAAAUAAUAAAUUAUUACAGCUAAAACAACAUAUAAAUUAGAUGAUGACAGUUUAUAUUAUUAUUAUUAAAUAUCAGUCCGAUUUGAAUUGAUUUUUUAAAAUUAAAAUUAAAACUGAACCGAAUUUGAAAAAACGAUCCAAACUAAAUGGAAUUAACGAUUUAGAUCGCUUAUACGGUUUGAUUGGUUGUCUUGCAUACCUCUAUCUCCAGAGCCUUUCCUCCAUCAUUCGAGAUUUUAAAUUCUACAUUAUCGGAUUAUAAUGGACCCUCACAAAAAUGAUAUCUAACCGUCAUAACAGUUAUAACAAUAAUUACUAUUUCAAUAAAUAGCAUUUCAAUUUUUCAUAAUAUAAUACCCACCAACAAUAGUUGUUAUACUGGCACUAUAACAUAAUGAAUGUGCAAUACAGAAAAAUAAUAACAUUGAUAUCGGAAUCAAAAUUAAAAUGAACUGAAAUCAACACUUGCCCUUGAAACAACAUUUUUUUUAAAAAAAAAAGUGGGGACGGGGAAAAGUGCUAGCAUAAAAUAAGGUGGACUUAAAAGUUUUCAACCCAUACAUGGUGGGGGAAAAAGCAUUGAUUUGCUCUUAUUUCAAAUUUCAGCAUCCAAGAAAAUUGAGAAAUAUACAACUAUUAAAGUAGGAUUUAGUCUAAAAACUAAUUGGAUUAUCUUGCCAUCAAUCUCUGAAGUUUCAUGCAUAAUUAACACACCACAUAUAUGACCAAAAUCCUAACUAUUCUCCAAUGAACUCUUUUUUGUGCAUUAUUAGAUCUCAAUGUUUUAUAUUUUAUAUUUCAAUCCCUGGAAACUAGAAACUGAUUGCUUAUAUAUCCUUGGUUUAACAAGAUAAGAACAGAAUAUUUACUUUUGUUUUUUUUUUUGGUACAUAAUUUUAUUCCUUUUGAUGGUGUUAUUUUCAUAUUUUCUAGAUAUUUUUACCCAUAAAACUCAAACCUAACUAACUCCUUAAUUUGUUUUUGUCCGCUAUUAGUUUCCAUUGGCUAAGUCCCAAGCAAGAAGGGUUAAAUUUGAAAAAUUAGCAAGAGAACUUUUACUUGAAUGCAAAAAAAGGGAAAUUUACAAGAACUUUUACUUAAAUGCAUAAAAGAUGGGAUUGAUACACAAAUAUAGAAAAGUUUAAGGAUUAAUCUAUAAAAGAUUUAUGAUUAUAUCAUAUUGGAUCCAAAAAUAACUGGAUGGACACUAAAUAUUUUGCUUUAAAAAAUAUUCCAUCAAAUUUUUCACCUUUGAACCAAUUCUCACUCAAAUAUAUUAUUAGCUUUUGAAACUUUCCCAAUUUGCAAGUCCAAAUUUAUUGUUUGAUUUUGAUGAUUAUUACUCAUCCAUUGGGAUCAUAAUAUAACAAUCAUGUCAUGGCUAUCAAUGACUUUUGUCCAAAACUGAAACAGAUGGAAAAUAUUAUAAUAAAAUUUUUGUGACGAUGCUUUUUAUAAUAAUUUAUUAUAAAAAAUAUUUUAGAUAUUUAAUAUUAUUAUUUUUAUAUAUUUUUAAAAAUAUAUAUCAUUAUUAUUAUUAUUCCUCUUUUUGCUUGUGGCUUUUCCGUGCCAACCCCCUCACCCUCCUUCCGAUGCUGUGGCUCCUCCACCGUCAACCUCUCCCCUUCCUACAGGCACCGAUAGCUUCUAUGCGCCCACCCAUCCCCCCUCCCCUCCGCCCCACAGCCCCCCUCUUCGACACUCGAGGCUUCUGCGGCUUGGCCCCAUCUCUGACACCUGUGGCUUCUGCAGCCCGCCCAGCCCCCCUCUCUCCAACAUUCAGGGCUUUUGCGACCCCUGUCUCUACACCACCAACGCCCCCCCUUCGCAUGGGAAUCCUCCACCCUCGGCCUCACCCAUCAAACCACCCCAGCCACCCCUCCUCCCCACUCCAGGCCCCAAGCAGACCUGCGGUUUCCACUGCCACACCCCCCACUCCCAACCCCCUCAAGCUCCGCUCUCCGAGACGCCCACCGCUUCUGCACCCCGCCCGCACACCCCCUGUCCCCCUCUUCAAGACACCCAUGGUUCCCCCACCCGCCAGCACCGGCAGCUUCUGUGGCCCCCUAUCUAGUGUGCGCCCACUAUUUUCUCCUGGCCCGUGAUUUUUCUGUACCACUAACGUCUCAUCCACUGACAAUAAAAAUUUUUUGAAAAAAAAUUAAUUUAAUUGUGGUAUGAAAUAAUUUUCAUCUUAGAAAUAUUUAUUGCAUCCGUUAUGCAUAGAAAUACUGGAUUAGUUAAAAUUCAAAUCAUCUAUAUUUAAUUUGAUAAUUAAAAAUAAAAAAAUAAUAAAAAAAUAAAAUAUUUUUUGAAAUACCGUAGCAAAAUUUAUAACACCUAUAUUUAUCCCACAAAAAAUCAAUAAUGUAAAUAUUUUAACAAACCAGACAAGAUCCAAGAUGCCGUGGUAACUUUAGUCUGUCAAUGCCUUGGAAAAUAAAGUCAACUAUUGAAGCUCCUCUCUCUCUCUCUCUCUCUCUCUCUUUUNNNNNNNNNNNNNNNNNNNNCUCUCUCUCUCUCUCUCUCUCUCUCUCUCUUUCUUUUUUUUUUUUUUUUUGGGUUUAGAAUCUCUCUCUCUCUCUCUCUACUUUUCACCAUCCCACUAACUUUGCGAAUGUCAACCAAAUAACGAAUAACUUUAACAAGUAGGGAGCUAAUUUGAGGACAGUUUCUAAUGGUUCAACCUAUCUGACUCCUUUUGUUCGGUGCCCAAUGGCAACCUUACCGCACCCAAACUCAAAGCUGGAAUAUUUUAUGGACUAAUGCUUGACCCUUGAGUCAGCUGUUCUAACUAAAAUAUUGGUUAUGAACUGUUACAUGGCACUUCGUUAACAUCAUAGAAGUUGAUAAUAGUUGUUGAACCAUACAUUUUCAAAAAAAUAUUAUUUUUGAACAAAACCAUAUAUACUAUAGUAAGAAUUAGUACUGAGUUAUUCGACUUAUAAGUAAAUGUUGUGCAGGAUCUGAUACCACACAUUACAGUAUGAAAAAAAAAGAAAACAAAAUAAGAAACACAAUAUAAAUACAUGGAUCGGCUUCAAACCUAUCUCCACGGGGCGUGCAAGCUUCACUAUAAGAGAAUAAAAUACAACAAUACAAAAAAAACUCAUCACUCAACACUUGUACAAGAGUCUCUCAAUAAAUGUCCUAAAAUUCUCACAAAAGCUCUCUUAAACUUCUUUUGAAGUCUUUCUGUACUUUCAUGACGUCACCAGCAAUCCAACACAAUAAAUAGCUCGUCAAUCGGAGCUAUAUAGACUCCAAAAUCUUCAAAAUAAUGUUAUAUUAGGAAUAUCGAGUCCAAAUCAACCCUAAAACUAUCUGUGGCCAUCUGAUCGUGACCGGCUCGUACCAAAACCAUCCGAUCGUGCACUACAGUCUCAGAUCAAGCCUGAUCAUGUCUGGAUUGAGUUUCAACCAUUCAAUCACGAUCGCACGUGAUCUAGACCGUUGGAUCGCACACAAAUGCCUCUGGACCACGCAUUGACCGCAUGAUCAGUCUACAUGGCCUCCAUGGACCACCCAACAUCUUGCGAUCCAUGGUGGACCGCGACAAGGCACUGGGCCUGGGCGCCUGCACACCCGCUGGGCUGGCCCGUGCUUGCACCCACGCUGGGCUGACCUAUGAGUUGGGCCACGCACUCCAACGCGUGCGCUUCUACCGGACUCGACUAUGCCGUCACCGGCCUCCACCACCUCGUGGGCCAUGCCACUUGCUUCGAGUCUUCUUUCAUGCAUAUUUUCGCCGUCUGGACUCUAUUUAGACUAUUCUUGGGCUCGUUGGACUCUGUUCGUCAUCCUAGACCUCGCUGUGGGCUCAGUGUGGAUUGAAUCUCGAAGCAUCAAAUUUCAACAAUCUUCACCUUAACUCCAUAUUCGGCCUCUAUCUGUUUCUGAGAACCUGUUAUCCAUCUCACCCCCAUGCCCUAGGGCAUGCCUGCUGUCUCAUGGAUGGACAAACAUGAGAGUCGAGUCAGGCCGUUUGAUCCCAUCUCUGUCAUGAGUUGUGUCCACUCUAACUAAAGAUAUGCUCGAAGAAGUCUCCUGUGACAAUAGGAACUUCACUCUGCGACAUCGCCUCUCGUCCUCUUGGGUCUUCCGUUUAGUGCCCGAUCUACCUCCACCUGGAGCUCCACCUUGCUCUGAACUUCUUCUGUCCCCUGAAGCUCCACCUUGCACUGAGCUCUCCGUCAGAUAGUAAUAUCCUCUCAUCCUCUUCUUCUCCUCUAGAAUAAUUCUAUUACCGAGCAACACCUUCAGGAUUUCUCCACCAGAUAUCGUCAUGUAGCCUCUCGAAUCCAGUCUACUCAGUAAGAUAAGAUUCCAUCUGAAAUUGGAUAUAUAUCGGACCUCUCCUAAUCUCCUCACUACACCAUCAUGUGCCCUCCAGUUGACCGUUUCGAUGCCUCUGAUCGCACAGCUCGAUCCAUCCAACAGAUAAACAGUGCCCUCACUGCUCUUCAAGGAGUCAAAUUGUUCCUUUCUGCAAUAUACAUAAUAGGUCCAUACAAAAUCUAAAAUUCACUGCUGCGAAAAAGUAAAUACCUCAUCAGAUAUCUCUAGGACAUCAUCCUCUGACUUGCUAUUGGCCAUUACUGCGGUAGCCCUCGUUCAAUCCCUGAGUUGAGGGCAAUCUCUGGCUAGAUGUCCUAAUUCAUUACAUCGGUAACAUCUGAUCUUACUCAAGUCUCUCAUCCUAGACUUGGACCAUCCUCGUCGCGAUCUCUUAUCGCUCCAUCUACCACCAUCUGCUUCUCUAGAAAUCGUCAAAGCUGAACUGCUACCUGAGCUCGAAGUCGGAUUCUCCCACCUGAGAAUCUCGUUCAGAAAAAUCACCAUGGUGACCUCAUCCAUCUUGAUGGUGCUCUUCUCUACUAAAAGAGCAAUCACCAAGGACUUAUACGAAAGAGAAAGUGACGCUAGCAAAAUCAGUGCCCUGGUCUUCUCCUCAACUUUCUCGUCAAUGCCGAGAAGAUUGGUGAGAAUCUUCUGAAAAUGACUGAGAUGCACCUGCAUGCUCUAUCCCUCAGUCAUCCGUAGUUGGUAGAACUGCUUUUAGAGAAAAAAAAUAUUGGUGAGAGACUUUGUCAUUUACAACUCCUCGAGCUUCGACUAUAGCACCGUCGGAGAAGACUCGCCAAGUACAUAGAUCACCACCUCAUCCACUAGGUACAAGCAGAUCGUACUCACUGUCUGCAUCUGGAGCCGCCUCUAAUCUUACACCUCUAUGGUAGCCAGCUUCUCCUCAUAUAAGAGAGCAUCAAUCAACUCUUAUUGGAUAAGCACAUCCUUCAUCUUCGCUUGUCACAAAGAAAAAUUGUUCUUCCCAUCGAAUUGGUUAAUUUUUACUUUGAUUGUACUUGUCUUCUCCAUCUUCUAUCUCGAUCACCACCAACGCAACCUACGCUUUGGUACCAUCUUACUCUGAUACCAAUUAUUGUGCAGGAUCCGAUACCACGCAUUGCAGCAAGAAGAAAGAAGAAAUAAAAUAAAAAACAUCAUAUAAAUAUAUGGAUCGGCCUCAAGCCUACCUCCAUAGGGCGUGUAAGCUUCAUUAUGAGAGAAUAAAAUACAACAAUAUAAGAGAAACUCACCACUCAACCUUUAUACAAAAGUCUCUCAAUAAGAAGCCCCAAAAUUCUCACAAAAGCUCUCUUAAACCUCUCUUAAAGUCUUUUUACAUCUCUAAAAUGUUACCAGCUAUCCAACGCAACAAACGGCUCAUCAAUCGGAGCUAUAUAGGCUCCAAAAUCUUCAAAAUAGUGUUACACUAGGAAUAUCGAGUUCAAAUCAACCUUAGAACCAUCUAUGGCCGUCCAAUCAUGACCAACUCACACCAGAGCCAUCCAAUCAUGUACUACAACUUCAGAUCAAGCUUGAUCAUAUCCGAAUUGAGUUCCAGCCAUCCGAUCGUGACUGCAUGCGAUCUGUUUCGUCAGAUCAUGCACAAACACCCCUGGAUUGCGCAUAAACUGCAUGAUCUGUCCACGCGGCCUCCAUGGACAACCCAACACCCUGUGGUCCAUGGUGGACCAUGAUAGGGCGUUAGGCUUGGGCGCCUGUUGGGCCUGCCGGGCCCGACUGCACCGCCGCCGGCCUCCGCCACCUUAGGGACCAUGCCACCUGCUCUGAACUUUCUUUCGCACGUAUCUUCACCGUCUGAAUUUUGUUUGGGCUAUUCUUGAGCUCGUUGGACUCCGUUCGUCAUUCUGGACCUUGUUGUGGAUUCAGUGUGGAUCGCAUCUCGAGGUAUCAAAUCUCAACAGUAAAUUGAGCAAACCUAUGAUCUAAUCCAAUCUCGACCUAACUCGAUGUAUGCUCAUAUGUUUUCUUAAGAGCUUUGUGUUGGAUAGAUAUUUUGAAAAUUAUGUCUUGUAAUUUUUGAAUUGAUCCGAGUUAGUCCCAAUUCGACCCAACUAGAAAGCCAUAAUCAUGCAAAACAAGUCCCUCCUUUCCUCUUAAGCAUCUUUCUCAAUUUAUUAAAUGAACCUACCUAAAUAAAUCCAUAAAUCCCUCUCCUUUCCUUUAGCAGCCAUGCCUUUUCUCACUUAAGGGUACUUAAGUUUAUAUUGUUUAUUUUGUUGGAUUCUAAGUCAUAAUGAUCUCAAGAAUAUCAAUGAUUUAUUUUUUAAUUAAGGAUACUAUUUGUAAACUCAUUUUUUUGAUUGUAUUCUUUUUAUUGGAUCAUAUAUAUAUAUAUANNNNNNNNNNNNNNNNNNNNNNNNNNNNNNNNNNNNNNNNNNNNNNNNNNNNNNNNNNNNNNNNNNNNNNNNNNNNNNNNNNNNNNNNNNNNNNNNNNNNNNNNNNNNNNNNNNNNNNNNNNNNNNNNNNNNNNNNNNNNNNNNNNNNNNNNNNNNNNNNNNNNNNUAUAUAUAUAUAUAUAUAUAUAUAUAUAUAUAUAUAUAUAUAUAUAUAUAUAUAUAUAUAUAUAUAAGUUAAUUAGUAUAUCUUUAAUUAUAUAUUUAAACUAUAGACCCAAUGGGAUCCGGUCUCAACCCGAAACUAAACAUUUUGGAUUAGAUCCAGUCAUUCUUGAUCUUGACCCAAUCCUAAUUGUUGGGCCUAAAGCUUAUCUUAUGCGCCCCAUCUGAACCACCGAUAGGCUGUGUCUUCAAUUCCAAAAUCAAACCCCCAAAUGCAAUCUAAAUCUGAUUUUAUUUAGGAUAAAUUACAAAAACAUCCCAUCAACUUUAGUUCAAUUUUAUUUACACCCUCUGUACUUUAAAAAGUAUCAAACUGAUCCUUCUAGUUAUCGAUAUAUUUCAAUAUAGUCCAGCAGUCUAUCUCCAUUAAUAAAAUUUUUAAAAUUAUAAAAAUACCCAUCUCUUUCCUCUCUCUCCCCUCCUUUCUCUCCGAUUGAUCCUCUCCUUCAUGGUCGGCGUCCCUCUUCUCCCUCUUUCUUCCUCCUUUUCUUCUUUCUCACCCAUUUCUCCUCCUCCAUUUCCUCCUCUUUCUCCCUCCUCCUUUCUUCUCCUCCCCAUUCUUCACCCAUUCUCAUCCUCCCCUUUCUUUCCAUGCACUUCUCCUCCUUAUUCUUUUUCUCCAAGCCACCCACAAACUAUUCUUUUUUAUGACGGCCUCCUCCACUUUCGUCCAUUUUUAUCUUCUUCAUCUUCUUCCUCCCUAUCUUCUUCUCCUCCCCUUCCUCCUAUUCCUUAUCGGCGGCCUCUCUCCCCUCCUCCCCUUCUUUUUAAUUCUCUUUUUCUUUCAAACCAACUCAUGAGCCUUAUCCCUUAAGAUGACCCCCUCUAAAUCUAUCCAUUCUUAUCGAUAAAAAAAUCAUUCUCCUCCUCUUCCUCCUCACUCAUUUCUCUUCCUUCAUGAUGACUCCCUUCACUUCCUUUUCUUCCUAAUCUAUUUCAUCUUCUCAUCCUUCUUUUUUUUAAACCGUUCAUAAGCCAUCUCCUUCAUGAUGGCCCCUCCACUUCUAUCCUUUUUCACCGAUAAUCUAUUUUUUUCCCUCUUCUUUCUUCCCACCCUUUUUCCUUUUUUAUUCUUCUUUUUCUCUUCUAACAUAUUCCUUACUUGCAACUAUUCUCUCCUCCUUUCUUUCUUUCUCAUCCACUUUUUCUUCUCGUAUUCUUUCUCUAAAUCCAUUUAUAAAUAAAGGACAUUUUCAUCUAUUAAAAAAAAAAUUUAACAUCGCUUAUUGAUAAAAUGAACGAUUAGAUUAUAUUAAAAUAUAUUAAUAAUUAAAAAAAUUAAUAUAAUAUUUUUUAAAAUAUAAAAAUAUAAAUUAAAUUAAAUUAAAAUUGAAGAAAUGUUUCCGUAGUUUAUCUAAGCGUAAGCGUGUUCGCGGCCCCAAAAAUUGUAAGGAUUAGCGUAUAGUUAUUGUUUGUUUCCAUUAAAUAUGGUGUCCCGUGCGGUGCACGUGCCAGGGAAGUAAUGAAACGGAGAUGGACGCUGUCCAUUUUAACGAUUCUGAGUCUCCACCAAGCGAUCCGGGUGUUCUGCUGUCUCCAUCGACGUAAAAGAGGGGAAAUCUCGAGCCAAGGUUAGGGUUAGGGUUUCGGGGAGCUCGGAGCGGGCGGCCAUGGCGAUGAGAGCGUUCUACAAGGAGAUCAAGGGGAUGAAGGUGAGAGAUCUUCCGGGCCAUCUGAAGCCGAAGCUCACGUGGGAUCACAUCAAGAAGACGACCGACCAGGCGGUGGACCGCUACAUCGAGAAGUACAUCGAGACCAGCUCCGUCGAGCCCCUCUUCCACGUCUGCAUCGGCGGCAUGAUCUUCUCGUACCUCGUCGCCCUUCCCGAGGAGCGCCGCCACCUCGAGCACCAGCAGAAGCACGCCGCCGGCGGCCAUUGAUUUCUGAUCUUAUGCUCCCAGGUUCGCUCGACAUCCUAGCCUCUGUCCUCGUGCCUAACAUGAUCUUUGAUCAAAUUUUCAUCUGUCAGUGAUAAAUCUUUGGUAUACAUCGUUCUUCCAUUUUAAUUUAUCUGUGUUCUUGUGGUUUGGAUUUGAGGCUUAGAUCAAUCUCAAAGGGGUAAACUUUAGCUACGAUGUAAAUAGAUUUUUCAGGAAUAGAUAAUGAUGUUUCUGAUAAAUUUUAUGAUUAGUAUUGCAUCGCUAACAUGUUUAGUUGAUCUAAGGUAUCUUUGAUUGUGUUUGUGAUCUCGCACUUUCGUUUAAGGUCAAGUCAACGAUUCCUGUUGCAUCUUGAACACGGAUAAAAUAUUAUACAAAUUCCAUGAAAAAGCAAAUAUUGCAUCAAAGGAUGCAUUUCUGCAUGUACGUUGAAUAUGUUAAGCAGUAAGAAUCCCUAAAAAUAUAGGGAUGAAAGUAAUGUGGAAAAACCUUAGGGCGCAGUAAGAAAUGCUUUCUGUGGAUUACUGUUGGUAUCUUGCAAAUUUAGGUUCUUAUGUACGAAGACAAACCAAAUCCUGAUCACUAAUAUCUAUAGUUGAUUGGUAGACAACAUAUAUUUGAACCCCAUGUACAAUAAAGUGCAAAAAAAUGGUUACUUCUGUCCUCAAAAAGGUGUGGGGAGCAUAUUCUGUCAGGAGAGCACUGUUGGUUUAUGUAUUCAAUGUGUUAAAUCAGGGAUGAGGGUGAAAUUUUGGGCAAAGACACAAAAGGGAUGCUUAGAAAUAAAAAUGUAAAAAGGAAUAAGGAGCUCCUCUCCUUGAUUUUUUUUUUUCCCCCACAUAUAUAGCUCUAAGCAGUCUGCCAUUUAUACCGAGGAAUGAUGAUAUGCUUAGAGCUUUUUUCAUCUACAAUCAUCAACUUGUUGAAAUGUAUGAGUUCCUACCCAUGGUGGAUGACUUAACUAUUUACACGUUAAGAGGUUAAUUUAAAUUUUUCAUAAAUCUGACUCAAAUAGUCAUGACAGGCUUGUUAGUCAUAAUGAUGGAUAAUAAAUAGAAAUGUUUUUUCAUACAUUUUGUGCUUUUUGAUUUAGUUUUUAAGGACUACUUGAUGGACGAUAAUACUAAGAUCUGUUUAAAUAACUGCUUUCUUAAACCAAUAAUCUAUCGAAGAAUUUAUUGCAUAUGAAACAGGAAAACUGCUUAACAAAUUAAUGAGCUAGGAGAUGGUCACAAUAAAAAUAAGAUGAAGAAAGACACUUUAUUUCUUGAUCUCUUAAUAGAAAACUAUGUUGUUUUAAAUAAAUUCUACAAUGUAAAGUGUGUAAAGAAGAUUAUCUUUUUGAUCCUAAUUCAUGGACGAUAAUGCCUAUCGUAUCACGUUGACAACUGAUUGGCAUGUGCUAGGAUGGUAAUUAUUUUCAAAUAGUAUUUUUUAAAUAUGUAUAUGUAUACAUACAUACGUACGUAUGUAUGUUUGUGUUUCAGCUUUAGAAGCUCCAAUAUUUUGAGUGUCACAAAGUUCAAAUGUGGAGUAGAAACUAAAUGAUUAGUUGGAAAUUUCAUGAAGUUAAUCAAUAAUGGCCUCUUUUUUAAUCUAAAUUUUAAAGUAAAGACUUAUCAUUUAUUCAACAUGAAUUCAAUAAAUUGUGGUAUUUGAAAUGCUGAGAUGUUGUAAAUAGGAAACCAAGAUAAGAGAAUGAACUAUGAAGUGUACAAAAAAAUUAACCUAGAUCAACAGACCAUUUAAGUGGGGUUGCUCUGACCUGUAAGAAGGCUUGAGGAAUAGGAGGGAAAUUGCAACAUAACAUGGAAGGGAUUGAAUGAAGUAUUUGAUAAGAUCAAUGAACCCAGCAGUGACAGAUGUGCACAGAAUAAUUGGAAGAAGACUUGUUGCCUAUGAUGUUCGAACCAACUUUGCUUCUUCACUGAACAUGUUACUUAAUUUUCUAAUUAGAAUAUUUGUAAAAUUAGAUGAUCUACCCAUUUCUUGAUAAAUAUUUCAAUUUUAUUCCGAAUGGAUUGAUUAUGAUAUCCAAAAUUUUUAAUAUUGCUGCGAAGCAUUUGAACAUUCUCUCUCUCUGGAACGAUAUUUGUUGAAAUUGUAAGUUUGCUGUUGGUGAAACACCAGACUUCCGAACGUCAUAUAGCUUCCAUUGGCAAAGAUACUACGUGCAUUUUUAUUUAUUUCCAUACCAACAUGUGCAUCUUGGAAUCCUUCUUCUAAUUCCGUUUGUUGACCAAAGAUGUGCACAUGAUAAUAUACAUGCCAUUGUAUGUUUUCUUAUGUAGCAGCUAUAUCUGCCCCAAUGUGUAUGCGAUCAACCAUGUUUUAUGUUCCCAAAUUCUAUGAAGAUCAAGCAUUGAGUACAAGAUGACUUUUUACAGCCAUGAAAAUCAUUCAGGGUCAUGCUAAUCUUCUUUGUGCAAUUACAAUUUUAUCGGAUGCCUUGGGAGACUUCAUCUCCAUUCUCUAAUUUUGUUUAGUGGUGUAUAUUUAAGGAGGAUUAUGCAGCUUAGUUGAUAAUGUUUAGAUUGAACCUGACUCAAAUGACCUUUCUUCUUUCUUCUUCUCAGGAAUGGAGAGCUUUUCUGUGGUUGGUCUGUGAUGGAUCUCUUAUGCUGUCAUCCCAAGACGGUCAUCAAAACUAUGCCUUUCGGUGUUUUGUUUUCAUGGGCUGCACAAAUAAAUUGAGUUUACUGUGGAUUGUGAUUUUCUUUCCAGUUUCUAAUUGAUCAAUUGUGAUCUUUUCAAUUUGUAAUGGAGCGCUUCCUAAAAUGCCCAAUGCAGACAUGUUAUGAUUAAUGAUUUGCGUGGCAACAUGUUGCACCAUCAUCAAUGCUCGUUCUGAUUGGUCGCUUUUCUUCCAGGUACCUGUUAUAAGCAUGCAAGGAAGUGUAUGAUGAUCGUGUUGUUCAACAGCUUUAUAUGUCUACCAAUCAAAGAACAGAUUCUCUGUCCGUUGAAACUUGUGAUGUGAGGGCUAAGCCUAAAGUCGCAGUCAAAGAAAGGACCGUAUGUCGAGUUCCCGAAGCAAUUGAAACCUUGCAUGGUAACAAAAAAACCUGCUAUGCCUUCACCAAUCCAUAUCCUUUUUGCUUUGUGGCUUGCAUGUUACAUAUUCAAGCAUCACCAAAUUUGACACGUACCCAGUCUUCGUAUAAAACACAAAAAUUGAAAACCAUUUAUAUUUAUUCUAGAAUAGCCAAUAUAAAAAUAAAAGGUGAAUGCUUCACCACCGUUCCCAGCUAGGUUCUAGUUAGGUUCAUGCCUUUAGUCCAAAUUUUCAGAUGAUGUCAGCCACUCAAACUGUAAUAUAUUGGUAGCUUCUUUUAGCAGCUCAAAGUGCAUAAAUCUUAGUGUUAGCGUAUGAGAUUGAUAGAUCAAGAUGUGAUCGCAUGGGUGAUAAUGUUUAAAGGAAAAAGAAAAUUAAAAAAAAAAACAGGAAGCAUCAAAGUCAUUAGACAGACAACAAGGGGCGGUCGAACACACAUUGACGAUAUUGAUGGAUGGGAAUGUUACCGUACAACACCUUAAGACACAUCAAUAAAACAGCAUACAGCUAGAAAGAUACAACAAAAGCUCCGUGAAAACUAGAUGACUCUCUCUAAACCGAUACAAGAUAGUGGGAGAAGUACUAGCUCAGCUAAGUUACACAAAAAAAGAUAUGAAGGAACAAGAGGUUCGAUUGGAAUUAAGAUUACAAGAAGCAUCACAGCUUAAAUGAGUCAUUUCCACGGCAUGUUAGACAAGCCCUGUUGGUUGCUGUUAUUGCAGGUGCCUGUGCUCUGGUUCAAUGGGCUUCCAGGCCCGCCGGAGGAUUCACUCAGUGUGCCUCGUGACGGUGGACUGUUGGCACCCGUUGUCCCACCAGGGGCAAGCUUUCCAGGAGCCGACGCAGGAUCUGAAGGAGUCAUCUGCUUCGGCUCUUUCUUCCCAUCAGCUAUAAAACUGCCCACCACAACCUGCCAAGAACGAUCCAUCAAUUGCUUUCACCGAGAGUGAAAAACUUUAUGGGGGUCGUCUCGUGAAAUAAAAGUUUCUAUGAAAAGCUGAGAAACGAUCAUAUGGUUCCUUCAAUUUAUUACAACCUUACAUAUGCCGUGACAUAGGCCCCUCCAGCAUUAUGUUUCUUUAAACCCCCAUGGACGGUAAGUUUCCCAUGUACAACCUUGUUGUUUUAGUGCAUUAGGUAAGGCUAAUGUAGCAUUACAACAUCAUAAGAUACUUUCUGGCCAAAUGAAAAAGGAAGCAUUUGAUCCAAGGAUGGUUUUGUGAAUGAAGAUGGAGGAAUUUAAGGUCUCAUUUUUCUUUUUUAAUUCAGGCAUGGUGAUAUCAUCAAUUGGUUAAUGGAUAACUUGGGCAUGAUUCCUUUGAAAUUUCAUUCUAGCAUGCCAUAUAAAAUAUGCAUAGCUCAGCAAAGAAAAUGAAAAUCAGAAUAUCCACAACGAAUGAUAUAUUGAAACAAAUGUGCUUUGAGAGAUGUCUUCUGGUUAUCAUGAUGAGAGACCAGAUAACGAAUUAUUAUCUCCCAAUGUCUGUCUGGUAAAACCGAACCUAGUUAUUCAUUAAAAGUAUUAAUAGCUUAAAAACUCUAAGCAGUAGCAUCUAGAGGUGCAGAGUAGACGUUAACUGCAAUACAGUUUGCAUUAGGGUCAUGAGAACGACAUAACAACAUGCAAAAUAAUGUGUUAUGAAGCAUGCUUAAUUCACAGAAAAUAUUAGCUCAUUAACCAAAAAUUCAUGCUAAAGGAUGAUACGCUAUGAGCUCAGUUCCACAUCAGUAAAUAGCGAGACAAACCUGGACCGGGGAUGCUGCUGUUAAUAGGCCUGCCACUCCACCACCUAAAACACGGCCAUCCGGGCCUGCCAGCGAAACACUCAGACCACCUGUUCGACUACGCUGACCGCCACUCUCUGACAGCAAAAAUGAACCAGAUAGUGACAAUAUCUCAAAUCGGCCCUGCAUAUGGAAUUUUUAGAAAAAUAAAAGCAAUUAAGCCACCUCUAAAAUUGAUAACAAAAAAAAAAAAAAUCCAUAGAAUAAAUUCAGGAAAUACAAGUUCAAGUUUCCUUUUCAAAUUAUAUGGGGGGAAAAGUCAUUGGUAUCCUGUAUGUUGAAAAGGAACAUGUGAACAUCAUUAUUGAAUUGUUACAACAUCUAAAGCAUGCACAACUCACUAUAGAAGUGCAAUGCUGUUACAAGAGAUGCAUGAAUAUCAUCUAAAUACCAGCGUAGUUAAACAGCAAUUAGCAGGUUCCUGAGUCCCUGAAUGCAUCAGUUUAACAGCAGAAUGGAAAAAGAGCAGCUUGAAUUCAAGAAUAUAAUAAUAUAUAAGCUUAUAUUUGGUACCACAAUCACUGAAAGUAAUUGAUUGUCAAUUAGUCACAGUUACAAAC
rnacentral:lncRNA from 1 species